rnacentral:lncRNA from 1 species
GCUGUCCGAGGUCGGGUCGGAUUCCGCCGAAGGUGGAGUCGAUGCCGAGGGUGCUGCUGCUCCCCCUACUGAUGUUUGAACCUGCAGGAACAGAUUGUCUGUAGUGUGCGUAUGUUUUUUGCGGUCGCCGAGGCCCAAACAUAUCAUCGUCGUGUUAUAGAGUUGCGUUUCUUUUCCCCUUGUUUCGAGUAUCAGGACUUGUUCGUCGGUAGCAGAAUCGUUUAUCCGAGCGAGAGUUACUUUUCACGGAAGGUGAUGAGUGAGGUAUCCGUAUCCCGGAGGCGUAAGAGUUCCUCGGCUCGGUCGGCCUUGCUGCUUACAUGUACUCUUACUCGUCCGUAGGAUUCUGUUAUCGAUACAGUCAAGAAGGCACGAAAAAUCGUUCUGCCAGGAAGUUUUUUGAGCGUUAAGACUUGUUCGGCAGCAGAAUUGCUUAUCCGAGCGAGAGUUACUUAUCGCAGAAGGUGAUGAGUGAGGUAUCCGUAUCCCAGAGGCGUAGGGGUCCCUCAGCUCGAUCGGCCUUGCCGCUUACGUGUACUCUGUCGAUUUCAGGAUUCCACUAUCGAAGUAGUCGAAAAGCGCGAAAGAUGUUCUGGCAGAAAGACUUUUUCCGAGGGAAAUUUUGAUGCAGAGGGGGUUCCCCCCUUCUAGCCCCCGAGGGAGGGUCGGGCUUUGCUGAGGCAAGGCUGACCCUUCCUUGAUGGUUAGACUUUAUUUGUGUAUGUAAAGAGAACGAGGUAUAUGAACGACUUGAAAACAUCUUAAGGGUAAAAGCGACGUAGUUGUCGGAUGUUCCAAGCGUUGCUGUAGACAUCGCCUUGACUGUUGGCCAACUUGUAUGUUCCGGGCUUCAAAAUCUUGGCGAUGAUGAAUGGCCCUUCCCAGGGAGGAGUAAGCUUGUGGCGCCCUCGGGUGUCUUGUCGUAGCCGAAGCACCAAGUCCCCCACCUGGAGGUCUCGGGACCAAACCCCUCGGACGUGGUAGCGUCGCAGAGACUGCUGAUACCGUGCCGAGUGUAGUAAGGCCAUGUCCCGAGCCUCUUCCAACUGGUCCAGUGAGUCUUCUCGGCUGGUCUGGUUGCUUUGUUCGUUGUACGCCCUUGUCCUCGGGGAACCGUAUUCUAAGUCUGUGGGCAAGAUAGCCUUGGCCCCAUAGACUAGAAAGAACGGCGUGAAGCCCGUGGCUCGGCUUGGCGUUGUUCUCAGACUCCAGACCACCGAGGGGAGUUCCUUCAUCCAUCGCUUGCCGAACUUGUUGAGGUCGUUGUAGAUUCUCGGCUUAAGUCCCUGCAGAAUCAUGUCGUUGGCACGCUCUACCUGCCCGUUCGUCAUGGGGUGAGCUACGGCGGCCCAGUCCACCCGGAUGUGGUGAUCCUCGCAGAAGUCCAGGAACUUUCUGCCAGUGAACUGGGUGCCAUUGUCGGUGAUGAUGGAGUUCGGGACCCCAAAGCGAUGGAUGAUGUUGGUGAAGAACGCCACUGCCUGUUCGGACCUGAUGCUGUUUAGGGGUCGGACCUCAAUCCACUUGGAGAAUUUGUCGAUAGCGACCAGCAGGUGCGUGAAGCCCCCAGGUGCCUUCUACAAGGGACCGACGAGGUCCGGACCCCACACAGCAAAUGGCCAGGUGAUGGGUAUUGUUUGCAGGGCCUGAGCGGGCAGGUGCGUCUGCCUUGCGUAGAACUGACACCCUUGGCAGGUGCGUACAAUCCUAGUGGCGUCGGCCACCGCGGUUGGCCAGUAGAAACCUUGUUGGAAGGCGUUUCCAACGAGGGCUCGAGGCACUGCGUGAUGACUGCAAGCCCCCGAGUGUAUUUCUUGCAAUAGCUCCUGACCUUCGAUGAUGGAUAUGCAUCGUUGGAGGAUGCCUGAGGGGCUGCGGUGGUAGAGCUCCUUUUCUUCACCCAGCAAGACGAACGACCUGGCACGCCGCGCCAGUCGCCGAGCUUCAGCUCUGUCGAGGGGUAGCUCUCCUCGGUGGAGAUAUUGCAGGUACGGGGUGUGCUAGUUUCGAUUAGGCGUGACCCCAUUCCGCUCUUCCUCGACGCGCAGUGCCUCACCCUCGGCUGCCGAGGGUGCCUCGGGCUGGGCCGAGGCCUCCUCGGGCUCAGGCGUGUCGUGGGUCUUGACAGAGGGUUGAUGUAGGUCUCGGGAGAAGACGUCCGGGGGAACCGUUGUCCGCCCCGAGGCUAUUUUAGCCAGCUCGUCCGCAGUCUCGUUGUAUCAUCGAGCGACGUGGUUGAGCUCGAGCCCGUAGAACUUGUCUUCCAGGCGCCGAACCUCGUCGCAGUAGGCUUCCAUCUUCGGGUCGCGGCAAUGGGAGUUCUUCAUGACUUGGUCGAUGACAAGCUGCGAGUCGCCAUGAGCAUCGAGGCGCCGAACCCCUAGCUCGAUGGCGAUGCACAACCCGUUAACCAGAGCCUCGUACUCGGCCACGUUGUUGGAUGCCGGGAAAUGGAGGCGCAGCACGUAGCGGAGGUGCUUCCCGAGGGGUGAGAUGAAAAGCAGGCCCGCGCUCGCUCCUGUUUUCAUCAGCGACCCGUCGAAAAACAUGGUCCAGAGUUCCGGUUGGAUCGGAGCUGCUAGAAGCUGGGUGUCGACCCAUUCAGCCAUGAAGUCCGCCAAGACUUGGGACUUGAUGGCCUUCCGAGGGGCGAACGAGAUUGUCUCGCCCAUGAUCUCCACCGCCCACUUUGCAAUCCUACCUGAGGCCUCUCGGCACUGGAUGAUCUCCCCCAGGGGGAAGGAUGACACCACAGUCACCAGAUGAGACUCGAAGUAGUGUCGCAACUUUCGCCGCGUCAGAAUUACCGCGUAUAGUAGCUUCCGAAUUUGCGGGUAGCGGAUUUUGGUCUCAGACAGUACCUCACUGAUGAAGUAGAUCGGCCUCUGGACGAGCAAUACAUGUCCUUCUUCUCGUCUCUCGACUACGAUCACGGCAUUGACCACCUGAGUGGUUGCGGCUACGUAGAUCAAGAGGGCUUCUCCGGCAGCGGGGGGAACCAGGAUGGGCGCGCUUGUAAGGAGCGCCUUUAAGUUCCCAAGGGCUUCCUCGGCCUCGGGGCUCCAAGUGAAGCGCUCGGUCUUCCUUAAGAGGCGGUACAGGGGUAGGCCUCUUUCGCCGAGGCGCGAGAUGAAGCGGCUCAGAGCCGCAAGGCAUCCCAUGACCCUCUGUACUCCUUUCGAGUCCUUGAUGGGCCCCAUGUUGGUGAUGGGCGUGAUUUUCUCCGGGUUGGCCUCGAUGCCCCGCUCGGAGACGAGGAACCCCAGGAGCAUGCCUCGGGGGACUCCGAAGACACACUUCUUGGGAUUGAGUUUUACGCCUUUAGCCUUGAGACACUUGAAUGUUGUUUCAAGGUCAGCGAAGAGGUCAAAGGUUUUCCUCGUCUUGACUACGAUGUCAUCGACAUAAGCCUCGACCGUUCGGCCAAUGUGGUCUCCGAACACAUGGUUCAUGCACCUUUGGUAUGUUGCGCCUGCAUUCCUUAAACCGAAUGGCAUAGUAAUGUAGCAGUACAUGCCAAAAGGUGUGAUGAAAGAAGUCGCGAGCUGGUCAGACUCUUUCAUCCUGAUUUGGUGAUACCCUGAGUAGGCAUCGAGGAACGACAGGGUUUCGCACCCAGCAGUGGAAUCCACGAUUUGAUCGAUGCGAGGCAGAGGGUAGGGAACCUUCGGAAAUGCUUUGUUUAGACCAGUAUAGUCUACACACAUCCUCCAUUUCCCACCUUUCUUUUUCAUAAGCACAGGGUCGGCUAGCCAUUCAGGAUGGAAUACCUCUUUGAUGAACCCUGCAGCCAUCAGCUUAUGGAUCUCCUCGCCUAUGGCCCUGCGCUUUUCUUCGUUGAAUCAGCGCAGAGGCUGCUUCACGGGUCGGGCUCCAGCUCGGAUAUCCAGUGAGUGCUCGGCGACAUCCCUCGGUAUGCCAGGCAUGUCCGAGGGACUCCACGCAAAAACCUCGGCGUUCGUGCGGAGAAAGUCGACGAGCACUGCUUCCUAUUUGGUGUCGAGCUCGGAGCCGAUCCGGACCUGCUUGGAGGCGUCAUUACUGGUAGUCGGGUACUUGGUGAUGGUAGUCGGGGUUCGGAACCGGGUCGGGAACAGCGCCUAUCGUAUGGCCCGGCUGAAAGCUUGCGGACCGGGUGGUUCCGGCGAGGGACUUCGAUCCUCCCCGCUGUCGUAGCGUCCCCCACGCCUGGGGUGGUAGCCUCAGCGCACCUUCUCAUCAAGGUGGGCUCGACGGUCGCGGUGGUGGUGCUCGUUGCCGAGGCGACCCAGGGCUACAGGCGUUGCAUCCCGCGUGCACCCGGUGUGGACCGAGGCUUCCCUCAUGAAUCGGGAAGUCGCGGCGCGAUGCUCCGGGGGGUACCCCUGCCUUCGGGAGGCAGAGUGUCACACCCGGGUUUCGGGGCACCAAGACCCGGGCGCGAACAUCAUCACCAGGUGUGCUGGGACCAAGUCUCACACAUAUGAUGAAUCAUGACACAGGAUCGAAUGUCACAACUUUACUAUAUAAUAUGAGUUCUAUACAAAAUAAUAAACAAUUACAUUCUAAGGAGACAACGGUCCAGCAACCCAAAGUUGACUGGGAGACGAUGGCCUAGACCUCUCACGAACUCGUCACAGCAUCCUCUAUGCGCCUCAUCCUGUGGUACCUGUUCUUGACCUGUGGGGGGGUGUGAGACAGCAAGAGUGAGCUCACAUACGUUCAUCGCUCAACAAGUUGUGGGGAAUAAUGUGUAUGAACUCGCCAAAGGUGGGAGCUCACGUGAAGUGUAAGGCUUACCAAAGAAGAUGGUUAGAGCUGAGCAUUGCUUUUAAAGUUGGUCAAAAUUUUAUUAGCAGUUACUAAGUAUAAGUAAAUACCAACCCAAUUAAGUAGCAGAACAAAAGUAACAACCUCACCUGCGAUGCAAUGCAUAUGACAAAUUGAGUUUAAGUUCCAUAAUUUAAUCAUGUGAGGGUCCGAGUUGCUCAUGACCGUGAGCACGGCUAGUAUACCAGUUUUACACUCUGCAGAGGUUGCGCAUCUUUACCCACAAGUCAUGUUACCCAUCUGCCAAGGGAUCGCGACUUCCCAUACACCUCUACCGAGGAGGCGAGGCAGGGUAACACUACGAGGCCUUUACAAAGUUCCACUAGCUUCAGAAAACCCGCUACAGUUUAUAGGAAGCUCCAAUGCAGGGUUCUUGCCUGACCGCCAUCGCAGCAAAAUCAACCAAGGACCUCCCUACACUGACCACUCCCCUACUGCCCUUGCCCCUUUCGGGUAAGGUAGUCCUCCACUAGCUUUCCUAAUUAAUCAGCCAAGGGCGUCCAUAAACCCUUGUGGUAGCACUGUUUUCCCGGGUGGUCGCUCCAUGUUCCAAUUAACAUAAUGAUCUUAUCAUGAACAGUGAUAAUAAACAGAUAAUAAAAGUAUAAUCGUGAACAAUGUAUCUUCAUACCCAAAACCACAUAUAGCACUAGCAAGUACUACCCAAAAAGUCCAGUGGUAAACAAGGUAUAAAGAUAGACAAACUAGGGUAACCUAUUGGGUCCCAUCAAAAUUAACCUAUGCAGAUCAUUAUGAUUAAUCAGAACAUGGCUGGGUAAAAAGAAGUGAUCAAGGGCACAACUUGCCUGGGACUUGAGAUACCAGGUACCAACUUGCUCUUCAGAUGACACGUGACCUCACUGCUAAACGUAGCAAUACAAACAAAACAUGGUAUAGGCUAAAUUAACAUCACACUAAACAUGAGAACAAACUGUGUAAUAAUAAUCUACGUGUCGCUACGAGAUCGUGGGAACAAGAACCACUAAAUUCGGAACUACGGUUAUUAAGUUAUGAUUUUCCAAAAUUAUUUAGUACUUAGAAUAGAUUAAUCCAAAUGAAUAAUUUUAAUUCACGUUUCAUGGCUAAACAGUGUUAAUGGUUGAUAGACAAUAGUAGUACAAAAUUAUUGCAACUGGAAUAACUCAAUUUGGAGCUAAAAUGAAUUAACUAUGAAUUAUACAAGUUUAUGGAAUUAUUUUCAUACUAAAAACCUAUUUCUUUAUUAUUUUCUGAAUAUCCUAAGUGUUCUGGACCGGGCACAAUAUUUCUUAAAAGGUCAGGGGCCUAAAUCAUAUUUUCCCUAAGACUCAGUAUUCACCGCGCAGGAUGGCGGGUUGAUUCCACAAAACUCCGAGGGCUCUUUAGCAUAAAAGCAACGACGAAGAGGUAUGGAUAGAUUUCAGCCGUUGGAUCCUAGUUCAAGCGCUCAGAUUAAAUCCGAGCCCUACAAACCGGUACGCAAAUCUGGCCAUCGGAUCAAGAUCCUACGGUAACAAAGCACUCACCCACUUUAACUGCACCAGCCAUUGGAUCCGAUCCAAUCUACUGCUCAGAUCUUACGCCCGAAGGGUUAUGAUUCCGAUCUAAUCUCCCACGUCCGUUCACAAUCAAACGGCAGGGAGCUUUUCUCCACGCAUCCGACGCAGCCAACGACGGUGCCGCCCCUGUCGCGGCGGAGGUCUCACCGGAGGAGGGGCAUUGCCACCCUUGUCGCUUCAAACACCAAUCCAAAGCACGCAAAAUGAGGAACAUGUCCUGGCGAACAUAGGAAAGGGCUGCUUACCACGAAUCGUGCGAGCAGGAGCGUAGUCCACGGUGGAGGGCGGCCCGACGGCGGAGUCACAUGUUCGGCGAGCAAUUUCAAGCUGACCAGAACACGACUCACCCAAAUGAAGCCACAGUCGCGUUCCGCGAGACCUAGCAAAACCCCCAGACCCCCAAUCGAGGUCACAGCAGGGGUGAGACCGUGGAUCCAAGCCGGCGGCCCUUCGGUGGCGGUGGCACUCACCUUGAUCCCUCUGCUUCCUCGUGGUGGAUUUGGCUGGGUGCCAUGCGCGGUGAAGUAGAAGGGGAGGUCGCGGUCACCAUUUAUAGCGGCCCAGAUCAAGGUUUCGCGAGGGAGUCCGGAUGGGAGGGCGGAGAGAUCAGACCUUGCCCCGGUUUCGCGCAACAGGUGAACAGAAUCCGUUGAAGACGACGAGUCAGCGAUCCGGCCCCACCUGGCGGCGACAGUAGCAUGGUGGAAGCACGGAGUCUAAUUGGGCUGCGCGGAGGUGGUUUUGCCUGCGCGCCAAAGGGGAAAGAUGGGCCACCCAACGUGGAGGCCAGACUGGGCCGCACGGUUGGAGGUGGGCUGACCGUAGGGGGAUUAGGCCCAAGGUGAGAUCCUUAGUAUUUUCUUUUCUUUAUUUCAAUUUCUAUUUUUGUUUAACAUUUUCACUUUGAUUUAGAUUUCGAAUUCAAAUUUAAAAUGAGGUUGCAGAUUCGACUCAAACACAUCAUUCAAAAUGCCAGCAUGAUUAUUAUUUGAUUAAUUAAUUUAUCUAUUGUCCUAUUUAAGCAAAGUCUUUUAAAUAUCCCUCCUAUGCAUACAAGAUUAGAAAAUAGGUACAUUAGGAAAUAGUUUAUUAAAUUCUCUUAGAGAGUUCAAAUUUUAUGUGUUCUCAAUGUAGGAAUAACCAAAAUCAUACUAGGAUACAUCUCAUUUAAUCUUUAUUAAAAAUAUUUUUAAGGAGAUAUAACUUUUAGAAGUGAAAGAAAAAAAAUUAUGAUUAAAAGGUAUUCUAGUUCAAAACUUGUAGAGGAUUUUAUUAACUUUCCAAAAAUGGAUUUUGGAGUGUUACAUAGAGCUUUCGGCCCGUCGGACCGCGGCAUCCUCCAGGAGAUUCUUGAGCUCUCCCUGGAUACGCCGCCCCUCGGUGGUGGAUGGCUCCGGCAUUGCUCAGAGUAGUAUUGCUGCUGCAGCCAGGUUCUGGCCGACCCCACUAGAAGCCGGGGGCAGCCUUGCCCUGGCAUCGUCGGCGAUGCGGUGCUGGAUGUCCUGGGCCAGAUGACGCGCUUCUCUGACUGGUGCUCGGCCUGCCCACUCCUGUCCGAAGUUCAGCCGGAGCUGCACAAGUUGUCCUGCUUCCUUGUCGAGCCUGGCCUACAUCUCGCGGAUUUGCUCGAGCUGUGUGUCCUGACCCCCCGCAGGGACUAGGACCACAGCUAGCUUCCGAAGGAUGUCAACGCGAGGCGCAGGCCUAGGGGGAUCGCCGUCCUCCGGCAUACCAAGAUGGUUGCCUUCGUCGAGACCCCCUAGAUCGACGUGGAAACAUUCGCGACUUGGGCCACAAUCCUUAUCGUCAAGGCUGUGGCCACCAUCGGAGCAAUCGGAGAGGCAGUAGUCACAUGCGGUCAUGAAGUCCCGCAUGGCACUGGGGUUAUCGAGCCCAGAGAAAUCCCAACUAGAGUCGGGCUCGUCAUCUUCCUCAGAACCCGGAGGCCCGUAGGUCGAGACGGCCGUCAGUCGGUCCCAGGUUGACCACAUAUGGUACCCCGGAAGGUUAGGAUAUGCCUUUAUGAAAGCGUCCACCGAAGCGGGAUCGCUUGGUGGGUCGAAGCUGAAUCUAAAAGGCACAGGGUGGAAACGGACGGUACCUCUUGAUCGACGGAUGGUGACGAAGUCGCGUCGGGGACGGACUGCACCAUUAUCUCAGGUACGAGGCUAACGCCCAGCAAGUCCUUCGCGAGCGUGCUGGCGUCAUCCGUCCUCUUGGGGUUGGCGUGUUGCGGGGAAACGACGCUCGUCUUCGUCUCAGACGCGAGGUCAAUGCCCGACGUGUCCCUCGCUGGGGCACCGGCGUCGUCGACUCGCUCGACAGCCGACGAGGCGCCGCCUCCUGCUUGGCCAUGGUUGCCCCGCCUCCUCCUCCGUCGGCGGGGAAGGUGACAGGACAGACCCGGAUGCUGCUCUUCCGCCACGCAUGGAAGACGUCGUCGAUUCCGCCGCCGUCUGGCGGGCUGACGGCCGUCGUUGUCGUUGUUGCGCGGCGGAGGAAGGAGUACCAUGUUGUAGCUGCCGUCGAGGGACAUGAACUCGAGACUCCCAAAACGGAGCAUCGUCCCAGGCUAGAGAAGUUGCUGGAGACUACCCAUCUGGAGCUUGAUGGGAAGCUGUUCGUCAACAUGCAGCAGGCCCCUACCUGGCGCGCCAACUGUCGGUGUUUCGACCCCGGGGGGUCCCUGGACCGACAAGUAAAUUGUCGCUGCGUGUCCCAGCCCAGAUGGAUCGGUGCGAGACGGAACACAAGGGGGAACAAAAGGGGGAACCGCGGCUCGUGUUGUCCUGCGCCCAGGGCGGAUGCGCUUGCAGUAGGGGGUUACAAGCGUUCACGAGGGAGAGAGAGAGAGCAUGUCCGUCAGCCCGUUCUCCCGCGCGGCCACCUUCUCGUACGAGGGCCCUGGACCUUCCUUUUAUAGAUGUAAGGAGAGGGCCCAGGUGUACAAUGGGGGGUGUAGCAAUGUGCUAACGUGUCUAGCAGAGAGGAGCCAGAGCCCUAUGUACAUGCCGACGUGGCUGUCGGAGAGGUGUUGCUGCCCUGUUCAUGUGAUGUCGUGGCCGUCGAAGGAGCGCUUAAACCCUGUAGAAGUACAGCUGUCGGGGCUGUCAGAUCCUUGCUUCCGUAGGGGGCUGAGAACCGCCGUCGUCAUGGAGCACGCGGGGUGCCAUCAUUACUUGUUUACCGGGGCGAGCCAGAUGGGACGCCGGUCUUGUUCCCCGUAGCCUGAGCUAGCUAGGGGUAGGGUAAUGAUGUACCCCCCUGCAGCGUGGUCGGUCCGAGCUCGAGGUCGGGCGAGGCGGUGACUCCUCCGAGGUCGAGGCUGAGCCCGAGCCCUAGGGUCGAGUGAGGUGGAGACCGUCUUCCGAGGUCGAGGUUGAGUCCGAGCCCUGGGGUCGGGCGAGGCGGAGACCGUCUUCCGAGGUCGAGGUUGAGUCCGAGCCUAGGGGUCGGGCGAGGCGGAGACCAUCUUCCGAGGUCGAGGUUGAGUCCGAGCCCUGGGGUCGGGCGAGGCAGAGCUUCCUAUGGCGCCUGAGGCUGGACUUGGCUGUUGUUAGCCUCACCCCGGCGGGUGGCACAACAGUCGGAGCAGGGCAGGCGGCGCUGUUUUCCUGUCAGGUCGGUCAGUGGAGGGGCGAAAUGACUGCGGUCACUUCGGCCCUAUCGACUGAGGAACGCGCGUCAGGAUAAGGUGUCAGGUGAUCCUUGCAUUGAAUGCUCCUGCAAUAUGGUCGGUUGGCGUGGCGAUCCGGCCAAGGUUGCUUCACUGCGAAGCCUUCCCGAGCUGGGCCUCGGACGAGUCGGAGGUGCGCCCGUUGCUUGAGGAGGCCCUCGGGCGAGGCAUGAAUCCACCUGGGUCUAUUGUUCCUGCCCGAGGCUGGGUUCGGGCGAGGCGAGAUUGUGUCCCUUGAGUGGACGGAGCCUUGACCUGUAUUGCGCCCAUCAGGCCUUUGCAGCUUGUGCUAAUGGUGGUUACCAGCCGAGUUUAGGAGUCUUGGGGGUACCCCUAAUUAUGGUCCCCGACAGGUACGUUUCUAGACUUAGUACAUUGUUUUGAGUACUAACAUAUGUUGUCUAAGUGCUAGAAACAGAGAAAAGAAAAGAACCAAAAGACUUGGCUCGGUGCAUCCAAAUCUCUGCUCAGUCUGGCACACCGGACUGUCCGGUGGUGCACCGGACAGUGUCCGGUGCGCCAGGCUGAACUCCGGUGAACAGGCCGCUCUCGGGAAAAUUUGGCGGCGUACGUCUAUAAUUCAUCGGACUGUCCAUUGGUGCACCGGUGAGCCAACGGUCGCCAGUGCAACGGUCGGCCGCGUAAUCCGCGGGCGACGCGUGGCCCGCGCCAACAGUCAGUAGGAGGCACCGGACUGUCCGGUGUGCACCGGACAGUGUCCGGUGCGCCAACUGCCGUGAAUCUGCAAUGGUCGUCUACGCCAAAAUACGAAGGAGAUCGUGCACCGGACAUGAACAGUGGUUGUCCGGUGGGGCACCGGACUGUCCGGUGCGCCACCCGACAAAAGGCAACUUUGGCCUUCCUUGUUGGCCUCCAACGGCUCCUAGCUACCUUGGGGCUAUAAAAGGGACACCUAGGUGCAUGGAGGAGACACCCAAGCACACUCUAAGCAUUGCAAGACUUCUAGUCCUCACUUUCACGCAAUCGUUCAUCGUUCUUGAGAUUGGAGCACUUUUCGAGUUGUAAACUCCUCGCGCGUGUUUUGUGUGCUCAUCUUCUCACUUGUGUGCGUGUUUGCGGUGUGGAUUUAAUUCUAGUGUGCGUUGCUCUUCCCAACCUUACUCCGUGCUUUCUUUGUGAUCAAUCUUGUAAGGGCGAGAGGUUCCAACUUGUGGAGAUUCCUCGCAAACGGGAAGAAAACUAUAAGAAAGAAUAUUGUGGUAUUCAAGUUGAUCAUCGGAUCACUUGAAAGGGGUUGAGUGUAACCCUCGUCCAUUGGGACGCCACAACGUGGAGGUAGGCAAGUGUUAUACUUGGCCAAACCACGGGAUAAACCACUAUGUCUCUUGUGUUGUCUUUCUCUGUGAUUAUUGUGAUUCACAAGAGCUCGCUCUAUAGCCACUUGGUUCUAUUGCACUAACAUCUUUAUAACCAAGCUUGUGGCUAUUUAGUAUUGAAUUUUACAGGAUCACCUAUUCACCCCCCCCCCCUCUAGGUGCUUUCAAUUGGUAUCGGAGUCGUUCUCUUCACAUAAGGGACUAAUCGCCCGAAGAGAUGGAUCCUAAGGGAAAGGGGAUGGUGGUCAACGAUAAGGAGAAGGAGUCCAUCUUCAAUGAGUCAAGAGAUGACAAGCCAACUGACUCUGGCUCGAGUCAUAAGAAGAAGGACGGGAAGAAGAAGAGGCGCAUCAAGAAGAUCGUCUACUACGACAGCGACGAAUCUUCUUCUUCACCAAGAGACGACGACGAUGAGAAAAAGAAACUGGUCAAUUCAAAUUUUUCAUUUGAUUAUUCUCGUAUUCCUUUGAAUUCCAAUGCUCAUUUGCUUUCAAUUCCUCUUGGUAAACCUCCACACUUUGAUGGAGAGGACUACUCUUUUUGGAGUCACAAAAUGCGUAGUCACUUAUUUUCUCUCCAUCCUAGUAUUUGGGAGAUAGUUGAAAAUGGAAUGCAAUUUGAUAGUACGGAUAACCAUGUAUUUAUUUACGAGCAAAUUCAUAAAAAUGCACAAGCUACCACUAUUUUGCUAGCAUCUUUGUGCAGGGAUGAGUACAACAAGGUGAGCGGCUUGGACAACACCAAGCAAAUCUGGGACACCCUCAAAAUAUCACAUGAGGGAAACGACACCACCAUGAUCACCAAAAUGGAGUUGGUGGAGGGCGAGCUGGGAAGAUUCGCGAUGAUCAGGGGAGAGGAGCCAACACAAACGUACAACAGGCUCAAGACCCUGGUCAACAAGAUUAGGAGCUAUGGAAGCACAAGAUGGACGGACCACAAUGUCGUUCGACUUAUGCUCAGAUCUUUUACUGUUAUUGACCUUCAUCUUGUUAACCUCAUCCGUGAAAAUCCCAGGUACACAAAGAUGACGCCCGAGGAGAUACUCAGAAAGUUUGUGAGCGGGCGCAUGAUGGUGAAAGAAGCUCGAUAUGUAGACGACGCACUUAAUGGUCCAUUACCCGUCUACGAGCCUCAACCCGUUGCUCUCAAAGCAACAAGCAGCAGGGAGGCGCUACCAAGCAAGGUGGCACAAGUUAAGGCGGCCGAGCUAAACGAAGAUGAGAUGGCUCUAAUCAUCAAGCGCUUCAAGACCGCUCUUAAAGGACGCAAGGAGUACCCCCAACAAGAGCAAAACAAGGGGAAAGCGCUCCUGCUUCAAAUGUGGUAAGACUGGUCACUUUAUAGCAAAUUGUCACAAUAAUGUUAAUGACCAGGAACAAGAAAAGAGCGGGAAGAAGGAGAAGAAAAGAGCUACAGGAAGGCAAAGGACGAGGCGCACCUUGGGAAAGAAUGGGACUCAGACUGCUCUUCAUCCGACUCCGACGAUGAAGGACUAGCAGCCUCGGCCUUCAACAAGUCUUCACUCUUCCCCAAUGAACAUCAUACAUGUCUCAUGGCCAAGGAGAAGAAGGUAAGUGUUUGAGAAACCCCUAAGUAUACUACUUCAAGCGAUGAUGAUUCUAGUGAUGAUGAAGUAGAUUAUACUGAUUUAUUUAAGGGUUUAGAUAGAGCUAAAGUAGAUAAAAUUAAUGAGUUAAUUGAUGCUUUAAAUGAAAAGGAUAGACUUUUAGAGAAGCAAGAGGACAUUCUAUAUGAAGAACAUGACAAAUUUGUUAGUGUACAAAAGUCUCUUGCUUUAGAAACUAAAAGAAAUGAAAUGUUAUCCUCUGAAUUGUCUAUGUGCCAUGAAUCAAUCUCUAGUUUAAAGAUUUUGAUUAAUGAUUUAAAUGCUAAGCUAGAGGUAGCCAAUAAAUCUAGUUCAUGUGUAGAACAUGUUGUAGUUUGCAAUAGAUGCAAGGAUUUUGAUAUUGAUGCUUGUGAUAAACAUCUUGCGUCUAUUACCAAAUUGAAUGAUGAAGUGGAAAGUCUUAAUGCUCAACUUAAGACUUGCAAGAUUGAUUUUGAUAAGUUAAAAUUUGCUAGGGAUGCCUACACCGUUGGUAGACACCUCUCAAUUAAGGAUGGACUUGGCUUUCGAAAGGAAGCCAAGAACUUAACAAGCCAAAGGGCUCUCAUUCCCAAACAAGGAGAAAGGAAAGGCCCCUAUGGCUAGUAGCAUUCAAAGGAAUAAUGCUUUUAUUUAUGAUAGAAAGUGUUCUAGGAAUGCGCAUUAUAAUAGGAGUUAUAUUGAUUAUAAUGAUUUACAUGCUAUGUUUGCCUCUAGCUCUACUUUUGUGCAUGGUAGGCCUAGGGAAAGUAAUGUUGUGCAUCAUAUGCCUAGGAGAGUAUGUAAUAAACCUUCUACAAUUUACCAUGCUUGCAACACUUCAUUUGCACUUGUAUGUAAAAAUGAAAAAGAAGUUGCUAGAAAAUUGGGAUCCAAAUGCAAGGGAGACAAGACUUGUAUUUGGGUUCCAAAGACCAUUGUGACUAACCUUGUAGGACCCAACAAGAGUUGGGACCUAAAACCCAAGUUUAAAUUGCCUUGCAGGCUUAUGCAUCCGGGGGCUCAAGCUGGAUUAUCGACAGCGGAUGCACAAACCACAUGACAGGGGAGAAGAAGAUGUUCACCUCCUACGUCAAGAACAAAGAUUCCCAGGAUACGAUCAUUUUUGGAGAUGGGAACCAAGGCAAGGUUAAAGGUUUGUGAAAGAUAGCCAUCACAAACGAGCAAUCUAUUUCUAAUGUAUUCCUAGUAGAGUCAUUAGGAUACAAUCUCCUGUCUGUAAGUCAAUUGUGCCACAUGGGCUACAAUUGUUUGUUUACAAAUGUUGAUGUUUCUGUCUUUAGAAGGAGUGAUGGUUCAUUGGCGUUUAAGGGUGUAUUAGACGGCAAACUCUACUUAGUUGAUUUUUCGAAAGAGGAGGUCGAUCUAGAUGCAUGCUUAAUAGUUAAGACUAGCAUGGGCUGGCUGUGGCAUCGCCGUCUAGCACAUGUUGGGAUGAAGAACCUUCAUAAACUUCUAAAGGGAGAACAUGUGUUAGGACUAACAAAUGUCUGCUUCAAAAAAGAUAGACCUUGUGCAGCUUGUCAGGCAGAGAAACAGGUGGGAAGCACUCAUCACAGCAAGAAUGUGAUGACCACAUCAAGACCACUGGAGCUUCUACACAUGGACCUCUUCCGACCCGUCGCCUACCUCAGCAUCGGGGGAAGUAAGUAUGGUCUUGUAAUUGUAGAUGACUUUUCCCGCUUCACUUGGGUGUUCUUUUUGCAGGAUAAAUCAGAAACCCAAGGGACCCUAAAGCGCUUUCUAAGGAGGGCUCAAAAUGAAUUUGAGCUCAAGGUGAAAAAGAUAAGGAGCGACAACGGGUCCGAGUUCAAGAACUUACAAGUUGAGGAGUAUCUUGAGGAGGAAGGGGUCAAGCAUGAGUUCUCCGCUCCCUACACACCACAGCAAAAUGGUGUGGUAGAGAGGAAGAACAGGACACUCAUCGACAUGGCAAGGACAAUGCUUGGAGAGUUCAAGACGCCUGAGCGGUUUUGGUCGGAAGCUGUGAACACAGCGUGCCACACCAUAAACCGGGUCUACCUUCAUCGCCUCCUCAAGAAGACCUCGUAUGAACUUCUUACCGGUAACAAACCAAACAUCUCAUACUUUCGUGUAUUUGGGAGAAAAUGUUACAUUCUAGUGAAGAAAGGUAGAAAUUCCAAAUUUGCUCCCAAGGCUGUAGAAGGGUUUUUACUAGGGUGUGACUCAAAUACAAGGGCGUAUAGAGUCUUCAACAAAUCAUCGGGUUUGGUUGAAGUCUCUAGCGACGUUGUAUUUGAUGAGACUAAUGGCUCUCUAAGAGAGCAAGUUGAUCUUGAUGAUGUAGAUGAAGAUGAUGUUCCAACGGCCACAAUACGCACCAUGGCGAUCGGAGAUGUGCGACCACAGGAACAACAAGAGCAAGAUCAACCUUCUUCCUCAACAAUGGUGAAUCCCCCAACUCAAGAUGAUGAACAGGUUCCUCAAGAAGAGGUGUGUGAUCAAGGGGGAGCACAAGAAGAACAAGUUUUGGACGAAGAAGCACCACAGGCCCCUCCAACUCAAGUCCGAGCGACGAUCCAACGGAAUCACCCCGUUGACCAGAUUUUGGGUGACAUAAGCAAGGGAGUAACUACUCGCUCAAGAUUAGCUAACUUUUGUGAGCAUUACUCGUUUGUCUCUUCUAUUGAGCCUUUUAGGGUAGAAGAGGCCUUGCAGGAUCCAGACUGGGUGUUGGCCAUGCAGGAAGAGCUCAACAACUUCAAGAGAAACUAAGUUUGGUGCCUGGUGCCACGUCCAAAGCAAAACGUUGUGGGAACCAAGUGGGUGUUCCGCAAUAAGCAAGACGAGCACGGGGUGGUGACAAGAAACAAGGCUCGACUUGUGGCAAAAGGUUAUGCCCAAGUCGCAGGUUUGGAUUUCGAGGAGACUUUUGCUCCUGUGGCUAGGCUAGAGUCUAUUCGCAUUCUAUUAGCCUAUGCCACUCACAUUCUUUCAGGUUGUUUCAAAUGGAUGUGAAGAGCGCUUUCCUCAACGGGCCAAUCAAGGAGGAGGUGUACGUGGAACAAACCCUGGCUUUGAGGAUGACAGGUAUCCCGACCACGUUUUUAAGCUCUCUAAGGCUCUCUAUGGACUUAAGCAAGCCCCAAGAGCAUGGUAUGAAUGCCUUAGAUAUUUCUUAAUUGCUAAUGCUUUCAAGGUUGGGAAAGUCGAUCCCACUCUUUUCACUAAGCACUUGCGACGGUGACCUUUUUGUGUGCCAAAUUUAUGUCGAUGACAUAAUAUUUGGUUCUACUAAUCAAAAGUCUUGUGAGGAAUUUAGUAGGGUGAUGACACAGAAAUUUGAGAUGUCGAUGAUGGGCGAGUUGACAUACUUUCUUGGGUUCCAAGUGAGACAACUCAAGGAUGGCACCUUCCUCUCCCAAACGAAGUACACUCAAGAUCUUCUCAAGAGGUUUGGGAUGAAGGACGCCAAGCCCGCGAAGACGCUGGUGGGAACCGAUGGACAUGUCGACCUCAACAAAGGAGGUAAGUUCGUUGAUCAAAAGGCAUACCGGUCUAUGAUAGGGUCAUUGCUUUAUUUAUGUGCUAGUAGACCGAAUAUUAUGCUUAGCGUAUGCAUGUGUGCUAGAUUUCAAUCCGGUCCAAGGGAAUGUCACCUUGUGGCCGUUAAGCGGAUUCUUAGAUAUUUAGUUUCUACACCUUGCUUCGGGAUCUGGUAUCCAAAGGGGUCAACCUUUGACUUAAUUGGAUAUUCAGACUCCGAUUAUGCUGGAUGCAAGGUUGAUAGGAAGAGUACAUCAGGGACGUGCCAAUUCCUAGGAAGGUCCCUAGUGUCUUGGAGUUCAAAGAAACAAACUGCCAUUGCCCUAUCCACCGCUGAGGCCGAGUAUGUUGCCGCAGGACAGUGUUGCGUGCAACUACUUUGGAUGAGGCAAACCCUCCGGGACUUUGGCUACAAUCUGAGCAAAAUCCCACUCCUAUGUGACAAUGAGAGUGCAAUCCGCAUGGCGGAUAAUCCUGUUGAACACAGCUGCACUAAGCACAUAGACAUCUGGCAUCACUUUCUGAGAGACCACCAACAAAAGGGAGAUAUCGAGGUGUUCCAUAUUAGCACCGAGAACCAGCUGGCCGAUAUCUUUACCAAGCCUUUAGAUGAGAAAACCUUUUGCAGGCUGCGUAGUGAGCUAAAUGUCUUAGAUUCAUGUAACUUGGAUUGAUCUAUAGCAUACAUGUGUUUUAUGCCUUUGAUCAUGUUACUUAUACAUUCAUGCAAUUUGUUGCUUAUUUAUGGUGCUCAAGUUGUGCAAGGGAUCCCCGGACCUCACAAGUCCAUGUGUGAAUGAUGCACAUAUUUAGGGGGAGAAGUGCUACAACUUGACCCUUUGAGACUAACCUUUGUGUUUGAGUAUAUUUAAUGAAGUCUCAAAGGUGAAUUGAAAGGGAAAGGUGAACUUGGACCAUGCAAAGACUUCCACUGCACUCUGGUAUUAGUGUACUCACCUCCAAGUUCAUUCUUAUGAAUCUUAUUGCCUUUUUGCUCUUAAUUGACAAUUUUGGUGAGGCAAUGGGGUUAAAGGGCCAAAAAUGAUCCCAUUUUGGUGCUUAAUGCCAAAGGGGGAGAAAUUAAGGCCAAAGCAAAUGGAUCAGCUACCACUUGAGAAUUUUGAAAAUAGUAGAGUUAGAACCUUUGAUUUGACCAAAAUACUCUUGUUGCAAAAUUUGGUCUCUUGUGGGGGAGAAUUUAUGAUUAUGGGAAAAAGGGGGAGUUUUUGGCACUUGAUCAAUUUUUCCAUUAGAAUAUCUUUGUGCCUAAUCAAGUGUGUUUGACUUAGAGAUAGGAAAAUGAAUUUGGUUUGCAAAAACAAACCAAGUGGUGGCAAAGAAUGAUCCAAAAAUGCCAAAUUAGAGUUAAAAACAAUUUGGUCUUCAAUUUGAAUCGAGGUUGCAUGUUUUGCAUUGCUUUUUGAUGUGUUGGCAUAAAUCACCAAAAAGGGGGAGAUUGAAAGGGAAAUGUGCCCUUGGGCCAUUUCUAUAAUGUUUUGGUGAUUAAGUAUCCAACACAAAGUGAGUGAAAUAUUAUGUGCCAAACAAGCAAAAGAUGCAAAUCAUGUAACAAAGUACGUUUCUAGACUUAGUACAUUUUUUUGAGUACUAACAUAUGUUGUCUAAGUGCUAGAAACAGAGAAAAGAAAAGAACCAAAAGACUUGGCUCGAUGCAGCCAAAUCUCUGCUCAUUCUGGCACACCGGACUGUCCGGUGGUGCACCGGACAGUGUCCGGUGCGCCAGGCUGAACUCCGGUGAACAGGCCGCUCUCGGGAAAAUUUGGCGGCGUACGGCUAUAAUUCACCGGACAGUCCGAUGGUGCACCGGACUGUCCGGUGAGCCAACGGCCUCCAGCGCAACGGUCGGUCGCGCAAUCCGCGGGCGACGCGUGGCCCGCGCCAACGAUCGGCAGGAGGCACCGGACUGUCCGUUGUGCACCGGACAGUGUCCGGUGCGCCAACUGCCAUGAAUCUGCAACGGUCGUCUGCGCCAAAAUAGGAAGGAGAUCGCGCACCGGACAUGAACAGUGGUUGUCUGGUGGUGCACCGGACUGUCCGGUGCACCACCCGACAGAAGGCAACUUUGGCCUUCCUUGUUGGCCUCCAACGGCUCCUAGCUGCCUUGGGGCUAUAAAAGGGACCCCUAGGCGCAUGGAGGAGACACCCAAGCACACUCUAAGCAUUCCAAGACUUCUAGUCCUCACUUUCACGCAAUCAUUCAUCGUUCUUGAGAUUGGAGCACUUUUCGAGUUGUAAACUCCUCGCGCGUGUUUUGUGUGCUCAUCUUCUCACUUGUGUGCGUGUUUGUGGUGUGGAUUUAAUUGUAGUGUACAUUGCUCUUCCCAACCUUACUUCGUGCUUUCUUUGUGAUCAAUCUUGUAAGGGCGAGAGGUUCCAACUUGUGGAGAUUCCUCGCAAAUAGGAAGAAAACUAUAAAAAGAAUACCGUGGUAUUCAAGUUGAUCAUCGGAUCACUUGAAAGGGGUUGAGUGUAACCCUCAUUCAUUGGGAUGCCACAACGUGGAGGUAGGCAAGUGUUAUACUUGGCCAAACCAUGGGAUAAACCAUUGUGUCUUUUGUGUUGUCUUUCUCUGUGAUUAUUGUGAUUCACAAGAGCUCGCUCUAUAGCCACUUGGUUCUAUUGCACUAACAUCUUUAUAACCAAGCUUGUGGCUAUUUAGUAUUGAAUUUUACAGGAUCACCUAUUCACCCCCCCCCCCCUCUAGGUGCUUUCAACUACGCCCCAGCCCCCAUUGACGGCCCUCCGGCAAAGCCAACUACAUCUCCAGGUUCAUCUAAUUAAUCAGCUAAGGGCGUCCCAUUCCACCCUCAUGGUUGUACUGUUAUCCCGGGUGGUCACUCCACGAAUAGGUCCUUACGGAGAGGUACUCAGCAAAAAGGCUAGAGCCCCCUAACGUAUCAUAGAAUCAUCCACAUAAUCAGGAUAACAGUGUUGUAUCAUAAAUGUUCACAUCAUGUUCAUUGAUUAAGUUAAGGCAAUAGCAACAUGCUAACCAUGGUAACCCAAAAGGUAAACAAGGAUAAGUGAAUACAGACUAGUCAAUCCUUAGGUUUCAUAAAGUAAUGCGGGAUAGUGAAUCAUAAAGUAUGUAGGACAUAAUGGGUCAGAGGACACUUGCCUUCACCAGGUGGUUGCUCAGGGAGGUCUCCAACAACACACUCAGGAACUUCGGACUGCUCGUUGUCUAAAUAAAGCCAGCAUGCAUUCAAUAUAUUUGGAAAGUACAAAUGAACAGCACACCAAACAUGUACAAACAUAGGAAUACAUCUUGAAAAGACACAAUACUACAUAAGGGAUAAUGAAUUCAAAGUAUAACAUAAAAUAUGGCAUACAUUAACUUUAUUUGAAAAUAGAUUAUUAUUUCCCUAAGUGUUAUUUACUAGUACAUAAUCAUAGAUCAAUUUAUUUUAUUGUGAACUAAAAUUUAGAACAGAGAUGAACUUAUGCAAUACCUAUUAUUAAUCUCACAAGCUUAAACAAGUUUAAAUCUCUAAGGUUCUCCUUUUAUUUAUUUUAUUAAAUAAAUAAAACAUACAUCUACAUUAGUUCAUAUUCAAUCCUAAAAAUUAGAGUGUGCAGUCAAUAAGUGAACCUAUUUUUACAUUAGUUCAUAUUCAAUCCUAAAAAUUAGAGUGUGCAGUCAAUAAGUGAACCUAUUUUAUUUAAACAGAGAAUAAUUCUAUGAACAUUUUGCAAUUUGAAUCACUAAAUUUGGAGUUUAUAUGCAAAAGUUAUGAAAUAAGCAAGUUUGGGAAUUCAAAUAUGAAAUUAGGGCCAAUUCUGUGAAUAUUUAAAAGUCCAGGGCUAAAUUUGCAAGAUUACAGGGGCCUGCGCACGAAAACCAGGGAUGGCGGGUUGAUUUCCAGUAAACUGAGGGUCUCUUUAAGAAAACUACCACGCGAAGGGGCAUCGGGUAAAUCUAACCGUCAGAUCUAAAACCAACGGCUGAGAUUAGAUCUACGGCUGAGGGCGCGCGCGCGAGCGGGCGAGCGCUGACAGGCGGGCCCGGGAGUGUCAGCGACAAAGGGGGAGAGCGCGUUGACCGAGCGGGACUAACGCCAGGGGGUUUGAGUGCUGACAGGCGGGCCAAGGGCGUAGGGCGUGCGUGCGCGAAGCGGUACCCGCGGUCCAGGCCGUGCGAUCAGGAUCGGAUGGAGGGGAUCAGAUCGAGGGAAAACAUACGGCUGCGGGCGGCGCCGCUCCGCUCCGCGGCGGUGAGGUCGUCGGCGUUGAGGCAGGCGUGAGCUAGGGGGGUCCGGGGUCGCCGGGAUUGGGCAAAGAGGGAGAGAACGCCACGGUGAACUCAAUGGCGAGGAACGGGCCAUGAAUCCACGGGUAGAGACGGGAGAACGGCGGUGAGAAAGCCUCGGGCGGGCCGGAGUAACUCCGGUGAGCCAUUCCAGCCAUGGGGAGGGGGCUUAAGGCGCGCUAAGGCCUGGGCUACCUUCAGCAGAGGCAGGGGUGACACAGGGACCUACUCCGGGGAACUAGACCGGGCUAAAUCGGUCGGCCACCGCGCGAGCACGGCAGACCGCCUCGGCCGAGCACCGGCGAAGGCAAAAUUGGCCUAGCACAGGGCGCAAUAGGGGAAAUUGGGCAUGGGGACGUGUCUCACCUCGGGGCGAAUCUCGGGGAGGCUUGGAGCGGUCUCCGGUGAGCUGGAUGGCCGGGAACACGGGUGCAGGUCUCCAGCGGCGGCUGGCGGUGUGAGCAGAGCGCGAGAGAGGGUGAAGCUAAGCGAAAUGAGGCGAGGGGUGUGUGCGGGGCACUGGCGGGGCUCUAAGAAGGGAGCUGGGCGUGUGGGCGGGCAUCGUGGCCGAGAAAUCCGGCGACGUGCGCGAGUGCGCACGUGCCGGUCCACGGCGAGCGCGGAGAGGACGGAACUGAUAGGGCAGGCCCACGGCGCAGAGAGAGAAGAAAGGGGCGCGCGGGGCAACGGCUCGGCGACUAGCGAUCCGGGCCCGCGAGACAGAGAGAGAGGGAGCGCACGGGUGAAGGAAACUGGCGCUGACAGGUCGGUCCCACUAGGCAGCGAGCGAGAGAGGGAGGGCGUGCGCGAGGGAGAACUGCCGCUGUCAGACGGCGCGGGCGCGCGGCCUGGCUGGGCUUAGUGGGCCAAUUGGGCUGCUUUCCCUUUUUCUUUUUCUCUGGAUUUUCUAAUUCCUUUUCUAUUUCUUUUUAUAUAGAGUUUUCGAAUCCAAAUUUAAACUAGGUUUCAAAUUCAAAUAAAUUCAAACUUGUGCACCACUUCAAAGAAUAUUUUAAGCUCAGCAUGAUGCAACAUGUCAUGACUCAUAAGGUUUUGAUAAAAAUAAAUAAUUAACCUCCACUAGUUUAAGCUAUUUCUAAUCAAAAAGGAAAAAAGAGAAAAAGAAUCUAGAGAGAAAGCCUAGAGUGAGAAAAGGAAGAGUAACACAUGAUUUUGGGUGAUAAUUAGAAAGAAAUUUUAUACCCCCAAAAUUAGGGUGUUACACAUCACUUAGAAGAAGAAGCAACCUAGGAAAGAGAAGAUGAUCUGAGAGCCAAGUACCCGGAACUCUUUGCUAGCCAGCCCUGAAUCUCGAGGGCGAGAUUCUUUUAAGGGGGAUAGGUCUGUAACACCCUGAAUUUGGGGGUAUAAAAUUUCUUACUAAUUACCAACCAAAUUAAGGUGUUACUCUUCUCUCUCUCUCUAGUUUCACCCUCUCUUUUUCGUUUUGUAGAAUUAGUUUAAUUAGGGAGGGAUUAUUUAUUUUAUUUUGUCCAAACCAUAUGAGUCAUGAAAUGUUGCAUCAUGUUGAGCUCCAAAUAUUCUUUGAAUUAUUGCACAUAUUUGAUUUGGUUUGAAUUUGAAACUUGAUUUGAAUUUGAAUUGAGAACCCUAGGGAAGAUAAAUAGAAAAGCAAUUAGAAAUUCCCUGGAAAAUAGAAAAGCAAUUUCAGCCCAAGUUAGCCCAGCUCCGCGCGCGCGCCCGCGUGCACUCGGUGCCUGACAGGCGGGUCCCGCCUGUCGGCGCCAACCCGCGUGCUCUCUCUCCCUCUUUCUCUCGCUGCUCUGUGGGGUUGACCUGUCGGCGCCGUUUCUUUCCAACGUGCGCGCUCUUUCUCUCUGCCUCGCGGACCCCACCCGUUAGCCACCUCCGCGUCCCUAACCUUUCGCCCACGUUCCCCCGCCGUGGACGCGCCCAUGACCGCGCGUUCUCCGGCCACCCCUCUGCACGCCCUCGCCCCUUUAGACCCCAUGCCCCGCUCACCCACUUCCCCCUACUCAUUUGUGCCCUCAGCCGAGCUCUCUCGCCCCCUCUUUUGCCCUGCGCACGCGACCAGCCAAGCCCCGUCGCCGCUAACCGAAGACCGUCGUCGUUCCGCGACCGUCGUUCAGCCCGCGUCGCGCUCGUUCCCUUGGUAAGCUCCGCCGCAUCACCCACAACUCGGGACACCCCUCGGUUUACCCCCAACCCCUCUGGUUUGCCCGGUCCACGCUCACCGGAGAGUUUCCCGAGCAACCGGAGUCUGCCGCCGUCGACCUGGGACUUCACCGCCUCUCCGCCGUCCCCGAGGCGCUCCUGGGUUUGCGCUUGUGGUAAGCAACCUCCCCGCAUCUCUAUUUCCCCGUUUAUUGCCCUGGUCGUCGCACAAUUGCUCACCGGAGUAAGUUUGCGCCACCGCGGGACCUUUAUGUCGUGGUCUGCGCCCUCUGGUGAUGCCCACGACUGUGUUCGCCGUGUCGCCCUGAACGCGCCUGACCCUUUCCCUAAGACCCUAGAGCCCCGUCGUGGCCGUCCCCCACGUUUCCGGUGAGCCCUCGCCGCGAGGCCGAGCGGUGCCACCACGCUUAGGUUCAGCCACCGGCUGUUGGAUCUCGGGCAUCAGUAUGAGAUCUGGCGGUUUAGAUUUAAUCAGAGCCGAUCUGAUCUCAGUCCUCCGAUCCAGAUCCGACUAUUCCCCACUCUUCCCCCAUCACUCGUGCCCCUGCCACUGGGUCUGGUCUGUCAGCCCUGCCCUGGUUCGCUGACGCCCGGAGCCCACCUGUCAGCACUCGUCGCGCGCCUGCGCCCGCGCGCUCGCCCGCGGAUCUAAUCUCGGCCGUUGAUUUUAGAUCUAAUGACUGAGCGGGCCCGAUACCCCUUCGUGUGUAAUUUUAGCUAAAGAGCCCCUGAGUUUCCGAGUAAUAGAACCCGUCGUCACUGGUUUUCGCGCGCAGGCCCCUGUGUUCUUUUAAAUAGCCCCUGUGCUUUUAAAUAAUUACAGAAUUAGACUUAUUUUCAUAUUUCAAACUUCAAAACUUGUUUAUUUCAUAUCUUUGUCAUAUAAACUCCAAAUUUAAUGAUUCAAAUUGCAAAAUGUUCAUAGGAAUAUUCUCUGUUCAAAUAAAUUAUGUCCAUACACAGUAUGUACACUCUAAUUUUAUACCUAGACUAUAGGUUAGUGUAUGUGUUAAUUCAUUUGUUUAUUAAAUAAGUAAAAAAAGGAGAGCCCUAGUUGCAAAUGAAUAUUUAAUGUUGUGAGAUUAAUAAUGUGCCAUGUAAGAAUUGAUCCCUGGUAUAAUUCAAUGUCCUGCAUUACAUUAUUGAAACUUAAGGAUUGACUAGUAUGUAUUUACCUUAUCCUUGUUUACCUUUUGGGUUAUCAUGAUUAGCAUUAUGCUCUUUCUUAAACUUAAUCAAUGAACAUGAUGUGAAUACUUAUGAUACGAUGAUGUUCUUGUGAUAACUUUAGGGGACUCAGGUCAUUUUCCUGAGUACCUCUCCGUAAGGACCUGUUUGGGGAGUGACAACCCGGGAUAACAGUGCAACCAUGAGGGUGGAAUGGGACGCCCUUAGCUGAUUAAUUAGAGGAACUAGAGGAGUAGUUGGCUUCGUCGUAGGGUCGUCAAUAGGGUCCGGGCACAGUACUUGCUCUGCUGAGGCUGGUUGCUGUAAUACCCACUUUGUAAGGAAGAAUAAAAGGAGAAAUUGUUUCCUUUAUAUAUGUAUGUGUACCUCUAGUUAUCAUUACAUGUGACCACUCAUGUAAAAAAAGUAGAUCCUUAAUAAGACACAAAUAAACCAUUGCAUCAUAUUGGAUUUUUUGUUUGUGCAUUAAAAUCAAUAAUGAUAAUGAGAAGAGUAUUUGAGGAAAAAAAAGAGAAAGAAAGGGAUAAAAUAAAAUAUAAAACAAAGUUUAGAAAUACACAAACUCAACCAUACUGGUAUGAUUAAAAAUCUAAUUUGAGUACAAAUUCAAAGUCAUACUUGAACUUCAAAUUGGGUACUAGUUUCAUACUCAUAUUUUGAAGUUCAAAUUGGGAAUUGAAAAAAAAUAAAAAGAAAAGAAAACAGAAAACAGAAAAUAUAAAAAGAAAAGAAUAAAAAGGCUUCAUGGGCCAAUUCCACUCUAUUAGGCCCAACUUCGAGCCAACUCCUCGCUUCGCGCGGCCCAACUACGUUCUCGCGCUCGCUGGCCCAUCGCACACCCCGGCUCGCUGGCGGGCGGGACCCUCUCGUCAGCCGCUCACCGCACCAGCUACGCGACCAAACUAUCACGUUGCGCAGUGGGCCCCACGCCUCCCGGUCGUCGUCUUCGCGAGUUUGGCGGACCAUGCCGAACGCCUCGCACUGCCGUUGUGUGGCCCGAGCACCCCGCGAUCUCUGUAACAGAAUCUCGCACCUCCCUGCUACCUCCUCGGCACCGACCUCCAGUCCAUACCCGUCUCGCACUUAGGGCCGUUUGGAUAGGGAUCCUAACGAACUCGACCGUCAACCGUGGAGCCCCGUAUGUUACCGCCGCCGCAACCAACCGGAAUCGGCCUGCUGCCUCAAACGGAUCCCUAGAUUCUCACCUACCGAUCCUCGCUCAUGCAUGAACUUCACGGGUAUAUAUGCCAUCAUAUCCCGAACCGCAGAGCCGAGCUCGCCAUCGGAAAAUAGAAAGGGGCCACCGCGGUCGCAAGAACAGGAGAGGUGAGAGCAAAGCCGAGAGAAGAGGGAGGGUGUGUGCUCCGUAUCGGUGCGCUGGGUGCCAGACCUCGGUACCUUCAUCGUCGGGAUCUCCGGUUGCCGCUUCUUGCGAGAGAGCAGGAUCGGUGGGCCAUCUGUACGGGCGCAAUUCGCGAUUUCGCGCCAGACCUAUUGCUCCGCCGCGGGCCCGUCCUCCAUUGCGAACGCGCGCGUCUUCGCCUCUAACCUCGGUAAAGAACCCUUUCCCUCUAUCCGCUUUCAGCUCCUCUUCGCAGUGCACCGAUCGGAUUUCGCUGUUAGGUGCUUGGGACCGAAAUCGCUGUGCCCCGGGCAUGGCACCACUGCCAGCUCGGGCGGCGUUGCCGUGCUCUGGCGGCCAAGGGAUUAGGGAUGUUCUGGCCGUUGGAUGGCCAGGGAACGACCUUGAUCGGCUCGCGGUGACCUAUCCAGCCGAAAGCGAGAUGGGCCGUCCGAUCGGGAUCGAAGGGCGGUGAGAAGGCUAGGAUUCAUUAAACCUAGGUCGUUAGAUCGUGAUCUGAGGGCCAUCCUCGCUUACCGUUUCGAUGUGGGUGCAGUCUAACUGGGCCACCCAUUGUGGAUCGAACGGCUGAGAUCUAGAGAUACCCCUUCGCCGUGGACGUUUUGCUUAAGAGUCCCUGUUCUUUUUGUAAAUGAACCCGCCGUCCAGUGCGGGGGAAAUGAGUCUUAAGAAAUUUUAUGAGUUAGACCCCGGGUUCAUUGUUAUUGUGUGCGCAGCCCAGAACUCAGGAAAAUAGGAGAAAUUAAUUUAGAAAAUGAUUUUUAAUGAGAAAAUAAAUGCCAGAAACUUGUAUAAUUCAUAGAAAAAUUAUAUUAAGUCCAAAUUGAUCCAUUCCAGUUCCUAUAAUUUUGUAGUACUAUUGUUUAUCAUUUUGUGUCACUGUUUUGGCAUGAAAGCCAUAUUAAAAUUGAUAUCCUAAUGUAACGCCCCGAAUUUUGCAGUUGAAUUUUUUCUUUUCUUUACUCGCCAAAUUCGGGCGUUACCUUUUCUUUUUCUUUUUGCCCUCGCUAGACCUUGACUUUUUCCAAAGCUAGCGGGAUUCGGUUUGGAAUUCCCGUGUAAAUAAAAACUCUAAAAAAUACUUUAUGUUGUUUGAUGCACCAUGCCGAGCUAUGCAUUCUUUGAUUGUUUGAAAGUGCAAAUGCAUUCAUCUAGGAAGAUCGGAUUUCGAAAACAGGGAAAUAAUCUUUUCUUUUUCUUUCUCUUUCUUUCUCUCUCCCUCUUCCCCUUUCCCUCUCUCCCGCGCCAUGGGCUCCUUGGCCGGCCCAGCCGCCCCUUGGCCGGCCCAAGCCCCCUGCGCGCCCCCCCUCUUGUGCCUUGGCAGGCCCAGCCGCCCCCCCCCCACCUCCCCUUUUUUUUCCCCAAUUCCCUCUCCCUCUCUCUCUCCCUCUCAUUUUCCCUCUCUCUCCCUAAGCCGCCGCCCCUACCCCUCUGCCCUAACCGCCGCCGCCCCCUGCUCGGCCGCCGCCCUCGCCGUCGGCCGCCCAUCGCCGGUGAGCCCCCCCCCCCUUUCCCUCUCCUCCCUCCCUCUCCCCUCUCCCCUCCUCCCUCCCCUUGGCAGCCCAGCCGCCCGGCCACCCCUGGCCGCGCCCCUGGCCGCCCCCAGCCCAGCCGCCGGCCGCGCCCUGGCCCCAGCCGUGCCUGGCCAGCCUCGGCCGUGCCCUGGCCGGCCCCGGCCGCGCCCAGCCGCGCCCCCGGCCCGCCCUGGCCGCGCCCUCGGCCGCCCCUGGCCCCUGGCCGCCCGCCAGCCGCCCCCUGCCCGCUGGUUCGGCCGCGCCCCUGGCCGGCCCAGCCGCUCGCCCAGCCGGCCGGUUCAACCGCCCUAGGGCCGGUUCAACCGCCCCCCCCUGUUUUUUUUUAUUUUUUUUUAUUUUAUUUUAUUUACUUUCUGUGAUCAUAAUUACCUUAUUUUGGGUAGACUAAUCAUGGUUCAUGCUAUGGAAAUGAGAAGUUUAAUUUAGAAUUUCGUUGCGCUAGUUGAUUCAUUUAGUUAAUUGUUUAUCCCGUGCAAUGUUAAUCAACUUAAAAUGAUUAGGUUCCCACUAGUGCAUAUAACAGAAUUCUUUUGUUAGGAACCUAUUGAAACUAGAGUGCAUAAUUUAACUAAUCAUUAGUGCAUAAACUUUAACCCCCCUGCGAGACCCUUUUCCCGUUUCUUUCUAACCAUAACAAAUGCAAUGUCAAAUGUCAUACUUGAUGCAUAUUCGCUUUAUUUGUUCCCUUGUAUGGUGUACUGUUCUUUUGUAUUAAAUAUGUGGAUGGAUGGAUGUAUGUAUGUUUGCGCUCGCAUAGAGAACGAUCCGGUCGAAGAGCCCGAGGAAUUCGCAGGAGAAGCCCCUGAGCAGCAGUCGGUUGGUGGAGGCAAGUGUCCUUUGACCUAUCUCUGUCCUAAUCAUUCUUUAAUUCACCUCCCGCAUCACACAUUUAUACCUAAGGAUUGACUAGCUUUUUGUUAUCCAUGUCCUUGUUUACCUAUUUGGGUCGGAUUAUUACUGCUUAGUUUGAUGCUAUUGCUCAACUUUAAUCAAUGAACAUGAUGUGGUUAUCUAUGAUACGAUGUUUUCCCGUUCUUAUUUAUGAUUAUACUUGUGGCAUUUAAGGGGACUCGAGCGGUUUCUCGAGUGCAUCUCCGUAAGGACCUGUUCAAUGGAUGACCGCCCGGGAAAACAGUGCAACCAUGAGGGUGGAAUGCGGUGCCCUUAGCUGAAUAAUUAGAGGAUCCGGGGUGUAGUUCGCUUCGCCGUCGUGCCGUCAAUGGGGCUCGGUGUAUGCGGCUCGCUCUGCCAAGGUUGAUUUGUCCCUUGGGGAGGAGUGCGGUACAUUUAGGAAACCUAACGGGUGGCUACAGCCCCGGGGAAUCUUUGUAAAGGCUUCGUAGUGAAUCCUUGGCCAUUCACCUCGGGAGUGAAUAAGGGUCUUGCAAGCCCGGGCCAGAGAGGGAAUCACGGCUUGUGGGUAAAGUGCACAACCUCUGCAGAGUGUUAUGAAACUGAUAUAUCAGCCGUGCUCGCGGUUAUGAGCGGCCAAGGGAGCUCCAGAGAUUAGUGAUACUUGAUCAGAGAUACUUUGGUACAGGUGACAAUGAGAUUGAUGGUUCUGAUUACGAUUAUGGUAUUGGUAAGUGGUAUUCUUUCUGUUUGGAAAGGAUACAUUGGGCUAAUAACUUGGGUUAAUGUUAAAACCUGGCUUUCUACUAGUAAGUAAUAACCUGACCAACUAAAAGCAACUGCUUGACUUAUCCCCACAUAAAGCUAGUCCACUACAGCCAAACAGGAUACUUGCUGAGUAUGUUGAUGUGUACUCACCCUUGCUCUACACACCAAACCCCCCCCAGGUUGUCAGCAUUGCAACCACUGCUCAGGCGAAGAUGAAGCUGUGGAAGGAGACUUCCAGGAGUUCCAAGACUACGACGAGUUCUAGGCGUGGGUUAGCGGCAAACCCCCAGUCGGCUGCCUGUGAAGGCCGCGUUAUCUACGUUUCUUUUCCGCACUUUGAUUUAUUGUAAGAACUAUAUGGACGUCUCAGACGUAUGAUGUAAUCGACUAUUUCCCUUAUUAAUACUAUUUUGAGCACUGUGUGAUGAUGUCCAUAUUAUGUAACUGCUGUGUACGUGAAUAACUGAUCCUGGCACGUACAUGGUUCGCAUUCGGUUUGCCUUCUAAAACCGGGUGUGACAUAAGUGGUAUCAAAGCCAGGUUGACUGUAGGACCGCUAACCUAGAGUAGAAUGGUCGUUCUAAGGAUUAUAGACCUCUGUCCCUACCUUGACUUUGAUAUCUCUUCAAAAGUUGGUCCUACCGACCAAACCUAUGUUCUACUAUAUAUUAUACCUUGCUAAAAAAUUGUGUUUCAUUCUGAUCCUUCAUUUACUUAUUACUUGCUGGUCAUAUUAAUUCUGUUCUCACCCUUUUGCUUGCGAUGUCUUUUGUAGAUGGCUCGACUUAGACACACUGCACGAAAGUCCGUCAUCCCCUUCUUACCCUCCCGCCUUGCUGAGCGUCCGCUUCGCCGUCCCGUGGCCGGACAGUCCAGCCACUUGGAGAGACUACACCACCGCCUGCGUGAGGAGCAGGAACGUCGACGACAGGAGCAGCAGGGCUCUUCUUUCUCGCUCCACCAGGAGAUAGAGUCUGUGAGGAGCUGCUCUCCUGUGCUUCCUCUGGAGGCGCCCCCUGCACCACCACUGGGCGCCCUAGCUUCUGGAGUAGCUGCUGGAGGAGACCCAGACGACGGAGAUGGCGACGACAGCUCGAGCCACGACACCGACUUCUCUGCUAACCCUGAGCCGGAAGGAUGGGUUGCUCGACCCAUCACUCGCGACGCUGCUCGCGGGUGUCACUUCCACGAUGCGCUCGACACCCUGCUACGUCGGGCAUUUGACCGGCAUACUUGGUCCGUCGAGUAUCGCUGUGUGGUCUACCAGCAUAGUCGCGGGGUCUACCCGGACCGCUGGGAGGCGACUUGCUUGGUGCGCUGCCCGGAGGACAGUCUCCAGGGUGCAGAGGCCUGCUCAGAGCACUAUUCUAUCUCUGAACGGGACUCAGCUGAGGCAGCCAUGCAAGAUGCUGCACGGCGUGCGCUUUCGCACUACUGCUCGGUUUUCGGUGGGGCAGCUGACGGUCUUGACCUGAAGUAUUACCCCCGCCGUCCAUCUGGCAGCACAGGAGGCGUGAUUGUCUCACCUGUCGGUGAGGGCAAUCCUAGGUUGAGCAGCACAGUCAACCUAGCCGUCGUGCUAAACACGGAGCUGGACCAUGCAUUAGACGAGCUGAGUAGGGCUCGUGAUGAGAUCGCCCUGCUGCGGGCUGAGCGCGCGGAACGUCGUCACCUGGACGGUGGUUCCCCCGCUCCCGUCGGGACUCAGCACCCGUACCGCUCACCUCAGCGUGGACACCAGUCUUAUGGCAAUCCCGACUGCAAGACCAAGAUAACUCUAGAACCAUAGAUCGCUAGAGUUGGAUCUUGUAAUUAAUACGAAAUAUAUGCAUAGAGGCUUCAGUCUUAGCGUUAGUCUCAGUUUUAGUUAGUCUUAGUUAGACAGGGUAGUUUGCUAUAUCCUGUGCAUUUAUGUUUGUCAUGAUGAACUAUGUUUGGUUUGGAUCUUUGUAAUGAUUGUCACCAGAGUGUGGGUAUCCCCUGCAUUUUGGUUUACCUAUUAUGUUAAUAAAGUUAGUUAUAUAGUUGGGAAACCUUUUAUUCCACUUUCCUCUUUAUCUGAGAAGCUGUGUGGUCUGUGUUGGAGAUCAGUGAAGAUGCUCACCUGCUCAGUGCUGUUGAAGAAUUCUAUACUCUUUUCUUAUGCUGCAAGAUUUGCCAGAUCAGUUCUGAUGUGUGGUUGCAUUCUGCAGAUGUCAGAGAACAAGCGCAGAGGAGGAAGGCGUGCUCAGCAGGAGCAAGCCGGUCAACAAGAUGAGGCGCCCCAGCAGCAGCAGCUGCCACCCCCGCCCCCGAUGUCGAUCGAGCAGAUGUUUCUGAUGCAGACUCAGGCAGUUCAGGCCAUCGGUCAGACUCUGGCCGCCAUUCAGCAGCAGCAGCAGCAGCAGCAACAGCAGCAAGCACCACCCCAGCCUCAGAUGCCUCAGAUGCCCAGAGACAAGCGUGCUGAAUUCAUGAGAGGUCAUCCCCCAACGUUCGCUCACUCUUCUGACCCCAUGGAUGCUGAAGAUUGGCUGCGCACUGUGGAGCGGGAGUUGCAUACCGCUCAGUGUGAUGACAGGGAGAAAGUCUUGUAUGGUCCCCGUCUGUUGAGAGGAGCAGCCCAAUCAUGGUGGGAGUCUUACCUCGCCACCCAUGCCAACCCCGACACCAUCACCUGGGAAGAAUUCAGAGGUAGCUUUCGUCAGUACCACAUGCCUGCAGGUCUGAUGACAGUGAAGAAGGAGGAGUUCCUGGCCCUUAAGCAAGGGUCAUCAUCUGUCAGUGAGUAUCGAGACAGGUUUCUGCAAUUGUCUCGCUAUGCUCCUGAGGAUGUCAACACUGACGCCAAGCGACAAUACCGUUUUCUGAGAGGCUUGGUCGACCCCCUGCAGUAUCAACUGAUGAAUCACACCUUCCCGACAUUCCAGCACCUGAUUGAUAGAGCGAUCAUGACAGAAAGGAAGCGUAAGGAGAUGGAAGAUCGUAAGCGCAAGAUCAGUGGACCCCAGCCUGGAAGCAGCAGCCGUCCUCGUUUCUCAGACAAUCAACCUCAGCAGUUCAGGCAGAACCAGCGUCCACCUCAGCAGCAUCAGCAGUUCCAAAGGCAGUAUCCUCAGCACCAGUACCAGAACCGUCAGAGCAAUCAGUCAGGAGGUCAGUUUCAAAGGCAGAAUCAGCAAGCACCCCGUCUUCCUGCCCCAGCAAACCAGCAGAACAGUCAGGCAGCACCAGCUCAGGUUGGAAACAGGGCAUGUUUCCACUGUGGAGAGCAGGGCCAUUGGGUGAUGCAAUGUCCGAAGAAGGCAGCCCAGCAGCAGUCAGGCCCCAAUGCCCCAGCAAAGCAGAAUGUGUCUCAGCCUGGAGCAGGCAACCGCCCUCAACAGCGCUAUAAUCAUGGAAGAUUGAAUCACUUGGAGGCUGAAGCAGUUCAGGAGACCCCGGCAUGAUAGUAGGUAUGUUCCCAGUCGACUCCCAUAUUGCAGAAGUGUUAUUUGAUACUAGAGCAACGCAUUCUUUUAUUACUGCAUCAUGGGUAGAAGCACAUAAUCUUCCAAUUACUACCAUGUCAACUCCCAUUCAAAUUGACUCAGCCGGUGGUAGAAUUCGAGCCGAUAGCAUUUGUUUAAAUAUAAGUGUGGAAAUAAGGGGGAUAGCGUUUCCCGCCAACCUUAUAGUAAUGGGUACUCAGGGAAUAGAUGUCAUCCUAGGGAUGAAUUGGCUAGAUAAGUAUCAGGCAGUUAUCAGUUGUGAUAGAAGGACCAUCAAGUUGGUGUCUCCACUAGGAAAGGAAGUGGUGACCGAGUUAGUCCCACCUGAGCCGAAGAAAGGAAGUUGUUAUCAGAUAGCUGUUGAUAGCAGUAAAGCAGACCCAAUUGAGAGUAUCAAGGUUGUGUCUGAGUUCCCAGAUGUGUUUCCAAAGGACUUACCGGGUAUGCCACCAGAGCGGAAAGUUGAGUUUGCCAUAGAGCUUCUUCCUGGAACCGCCCCCAUCUUUAGGAGAGCUUACAGAAUAUCUGGACCAGAGUUGGUUGAGCUUAAGAAGCAGAUUGAUGAGCUGUCAGAGAAAGGUUACAUUCGGCCAAGCACCUCGCCUUGGGCCGCCCCUGUCCUAUUUGUGGAGAAGAAAGAUGGCACCAAGAGGAUGUGCAUCGAUUAUCGAGCUUUGAAUGAGGUCACGAUCAAGAACAAGUAUCCCUUGCCCAGAAUAGAAGAUCUGUUCGACCAGUUGAGAGGAGCCAGUGUGUUCUCCAAGAUUGAUCUGAGGUCAGGUUAUCAUCAGCUCAGGAUCCGACCUUCGGACAUUCCGAAGACGGCAUUCAUUACCAAGUAUGGUUUGUAUGAGUUCACAGUGAUGUCUUUUGGUUUGACCAAUGCACCAGCGUUCUUCAUGAAUCUGAUGAACAGUGUAUUCAUGGAUUACCUUGAUAAGUUUGUGGUGGUAUUCAUUGAUGACAUUCUGAUUUAUUCCCAAAGCGAAGAAGAGCACGCAGAUCAUUUGAGGAUGGUAUUGCAGAGAUUGCGAGAGCACCAGUUGUACGCAAAGUUGAGCAAGUGUGAGUUCUGGAUCAGCGAAGUCCUGUUCUUGGGUCACAUAAUCAACAAGGAAGGAUUGGCUGUGGAUCCGAAGAAAGUGGCAGACAUUCUGAACUGGAAAGCGCCAACGGAUGCUCGAGGAAUCAAGAGCUUCAUUGGAAUGGCCGGAUACUAUCGGCGAUUCAUUGAAGGGUUUUCGAAGAUUGCGAAGCCAAUGACAGCGUUGCUAGGCAACAAGGUUGAGUUCAAAUGGACCCAGAAAUGUCAAGAGGCCUUUGAAGCGCUGAAAGAGAAGUUGACUACAUCGCCUGUCCUAAUCUUGCCUGAUGUGCACAAGCCCUUCUCGGUGUAUUGUGAUGCUUGUUACACAGGUUUGGGAUGCGUGUUGAUGCAAGAGGGAAGAGUUGUGGCUUACUCAUCCCGACAGCUGAAGGUUCAUGAGAAGAACUACCCAAUCCAUGAUCUAGAGUUGGCAGCAGUGGUUCACGCACUGAAGACAUGGAGGCACUAUCUGUAUGGACAGAAAUGCGAUGUUUACACAUAUCACAAGAGUCUGAAGUACAUAUUCACUCAGACAGAGCUGAACAUGAGGCAACGAAGAUGGUUAGAGCUGAUCAAAGACUAUGAGUUGGAGAUUCAUUACCAUCCAGGCAAAGCAAACGUAGUGGCAGAUGCUUUGAGCAGAAAGAGUCAAGUCAAUCUGAUGGUCGCUCGCCCGAUGCCUUAUGAGUUGGCCAAGGAGUUCGACAGGUUGAGUCUCGGGUUUCUGAACAAUUCGCGAGGAGUCACAGUUGAAUUGGAACCUACCUUGGAGCGAGAAAUCAAAGAAGCGCAGAAGAAUGAUGAAAAGAUCAGUGAGAUUCGGCGAUUGAUUCUAGAUGGCAGAGGCAAAGAUUUUCGAGAAGAUGCUGAAGGGGUGAUAUGGUUCAAAGACCGCUUAUGUGUUCCCAAUGUCCAGUCUAUUCGAGAGUUGAUCCUCAAGGAAGCUCAUGAGACAGCCUAUUCGAUUCACCCUGGUAGUGAGAAGAUGUAUCAGGAUCUGAAGAAGAAAUUCUGGUGGUACGGAAUGAAGAGGGAAAUCGCAGAGCAUGUGGCUAAGUGCGAUAGUUGUCGAAGAAUUAAGGCAGAGCACCAGAGACCAGCUGGAUUGUUGCAACCGUUGCAGAUCCCUCAGUGGAAAUGGGAUGAAAUUGGUAUGGAUUUCAUAGUCGGAUUGCCUCGCACUCGAGCCGGCUACGAUUCUAUUUGGGUAGUGGUGGACCGUUUGACCAAGUCAGCCCACUUCAUACCUGUCAAGACCAGCUACAACAGUGCAGUAUUGGCAGAGUUGUAUAUGUCUCGGAUCGUUUGUCUUCAUGGUGUGCCAAAGAAGAUAGUGUCAGACAGAGGAACGCAGUUCACCUCUCAUUUCUGGCAGCAGUUGCAUGAAGCCUUGGGCACACAUCUGAAUUUCAGUUCAGCUUAUCACCCGCAGACAGAUGGCCAGACUGAAAGGACCAAUCAAAUUCUCGAAGAUAUGUUGAGAGCCUGUGCGUUGCAAGAUCAGUCCGGAUGGGACAAGCGAUUGCCUUAUGCAGAGUUUUCCUAUAACAACAGUUACCAAGCCAGUUUGAAGAUGUCACCGUUUCAGGCGCUUUAUGGAAGGAGUUGUAGAACUCCGUUGCAAUGGGAUCAGCCUGGAGAGAAGCAAGUGUUUGGGCCAGACAUUCUGCUUGAAGCCGAAGAGAACAUCAAGAUGGUCCGAGAGAAUCUGAAGAUAGCGCAAUCGAGGCAGCGAAGCUAUGCAGACACAAGAAGAAGAGAGCUGAGUUUUGAAGUCGGAGACUUUGUCUAUCUGAAAGUGUCACCGAUCAGAGGAGUCAGAAGAUUCGGAGUGAAAGGCAAGCUAGCACCCCGCUACAUUGGUCCGUACCAGAUCCUCUCAAAGCGUGGAGAAGUGGCUUAUCAGCUCAGCCUGCCAGAGAAUUUGUCUGCUGUGCAUGAUGUCUUUCAUGUGUCUCAGUUGAAGAAGUGCUUGCGUGUGCCAGAAGAGCAGUUGCCAGUGGAAGGUCUUGAGGUCCAGGAGGACUUGACCUAUGUUGAGAAGCCAGCUCAGAUCCUUGAGAUUGCAGACAGAGUCACCCGAAGGAAGACCAUCAGAAUGUGCAAAGUCAGAUGGAAUCACCACUCUGAGGAAGAAGCAACCUGGGAGCGUGAAGAUGAUCUAGUGGCCAAGUACCCAGAGCUCUUUGCUAGCCAGCCCUGAAUCUCGAGGGCGAGAUUCUUUUAAGGGGGAUAGGUUUGUAACGCCCCGAAUUUUGCAGUUGAAUUUUUUCUUUUCUUUACUCGCCAAAUUCGGGCGUUACCUUUUCUUUUUCUUUUUGCCCUCGCUAGACCUUGACUUUUUCCAAAGCUAGCGGGAUUCGGUUUGGAAUUCCCGUGUAAAGAAAAACUCUAAAAAAUACUUUAUGUUGUUUGAUGCACCAUGUCGAGCUAUGCAUUCUUUGAUUGUUUGAAAGUGCAAAUGCAUUCAUCUAGGAAGAUCGGAUUUCGAAAACAGGGAAAUAAUCUUUUCUUUUUCUUUCUCUUUCUUUCUCUCUCCCUCUUCCCCUUUCCCUCUCUCCCGCGCCAUGGGCUCCUUGGCCGGCCCAGCCGCCCCUUGGCCGGCCCAAGCCCCCUGCGCGCCCCCCCUCUUGGGCCUUGGCAGGCCCAGCCGCCCCCCCACCUCCCCUUUUUUUUCCCCAAUUCCCUCUCCCUCUCUCUCUCCCUCUCAUUUUCCCUCUCUCUCCCUAAGCCGCCGCCCCUACCCCUCUGCCCUAACCGCCGCCGCCCCCUGCUCGGCCGCCGCCCUCGUCGUCGGCCGCCCAUCGCCGGUGAGCCCCCCCCCUUUCCCUCUCCUCCCUCCCUCUCCCCUCUCCCCUCCUCCCUCCCCUUGGCAGCCCAGCCGCCCGGCCACCCCUGGCCGCGCCCCUGGCCGCCCCCAGCCCAGCCGCCGGCCGCGCCCUGGCCCCAGCCGCGCCUAGCCAGCCUCGGCCGCGCCCUGGCCGGCCCCGGCCGCGCCCCCGGCCCGCCCUGGCCGCGCCCUCGGCCGCCCCUGGCCCCUGGCUGCCCGCCAGCCGCCCCCUGCCCGCUGGUUCGGCCGCGCCCCUGGCCGUCCCAGCCGCUCGCCCAGCCGGCCGGUUCAACCGCCCUAGGGCCGGUUCAACCGCCCCCCCCCUGUUUUUUUUUAUUUUUUUUAUUUUAUUUUAUUUACUUUCUGUGAUCAUAAUUACCUUAUUUUGGGUAGACUAAUCAUGGUUCAUGCUAUGGAAAUGAGAAGUUUAAUUUAGAAUUUCGUUGCGCUAGUUGAUUCAUUUAGUUAAUUGUUUAUCCCGUGCAAUGUUAAUCAACUUAAAAUGAUUAGGUUCCCACUAGUGCAUAUAACAGAAUUCUUUUGUUAGGAACCUAUUGAAACUAGAGUGCAUAAUUUAACUAAUCAUUAGUGCAUAAACUUUAACCCCCCUGCGAGACCCUUUUCCCGUUUCUUUCUAACCAUAACAAAUGCAAUGUCAAAUGUCAUACUUGAUGCAUAUUCGCUUUAUUUGUUCCCUUGUAUGGUGUACUGUUCUUUUGUAUUAAAUAUGUGGAUGGAUGUAUGUAUGUUUGCGCUCGCAUAGAGAACGAUCCGGUCGAAGAGCCCGAGGAAUUCGCAGGAGAAGCCCCUGAGCAGCAGUCGGUUGGUGGAGGCAAGUGUCCUUUGACCUAUCUCUGUCCUAAUCAUUCUUUAAUUCACCUCCCGCAUCACACAUUUAUACCUAAGGAUUGACUAGCUUUUUGUUAUCCAUAUCCUUGUUUACCUAUUUGGGUCGGAUUAUUACUGCUUAGUUUGAUGCUAUUGCUCAACUUUAAUCAAUGAACAUGAUGUGGUUAUCUAUGAUACGCUAUUUUCCCGUUCUUAUUUAUGAUUAUACUUGUGGCAUUUAAGGGGACUCGAGCGGUUUCUCGAGUGCCUCUCCGUAAGGACCUGUUCAAUGGAUGACCGCCCGGGAAAACAGUGCAACCAUGAGGGUGGAAUGGGGUGCCCUUAGCUGAAUAAUUAGAGGAUCCGGGGUGUAGUUCGCUUCGCCGUCGUGCCGUCAAUGGGGCUCGGUGUAUGCGGCUCGCUCUGCCAAGGUUGAUUUGUCCCUUGGGGAGGAGUGCGGUACAUUUAGGAAACCUAACGGGUGGCUACAGCCCCGGGGAAUCUUUGUAAAGGCUUCGUAGUGAAUCCUUGGCCAUUCACCUCGGGAGUGAAUAAGGGUCUUGCAAGCCCGGGCCAGAGAGGGAAUCACGGCUUGUGGGUAAAGUGCACAACCUCUGCAGAGUGUUAUGAAACUGAUAUAUCAGCCGUGCUCGCGGUUAUGAGCGGCCAAGGGAGCUCCAGAGAUUAGUGAUACUUGAUCAGAGAUACUUUGGUACAGGUGACAAUGAGAUUGAUGGUUCUGAUUACGAUUAUGGUAUUGGUAAGUGGUAUUCUUUCCGUUUGGAAAGGAUACAUUGGGCUAAUAACUUGGGUUAAUGUUAAAACCUGGCUUUCUACUAGUAAGUAAUAACCUGACCAACUAAAAGCAACUGCUUGACUUAUCCCCACAUAAAGCUAGUCCACUACAGCCAAACAGGAUACUUGCUGAGUAUGUUGAUGUGUACUCACCCUUGCUCUACACACCAAACCCCCCCCAGGUUGUCAGCAUUGCAACCACUGCUCAGGCGAAGAUGAAGCUGUGGAAGGAGACUUCCAGGAGUUCCAAGACUACGACGAGUUCUAGGCGUGGGUUAGCGGCAAACCCCCAGUCGGCUGCCUGUGAAGGCCGCGUUAUCUACGUUUCUUUUCCGCACUUUGAUUUAUUGUAAGAACUAUAUGGACGUCUCAGACGUAUGAUGUAAUCGACUAUUUCCCUUAUUAAUACUAUUUUGAGCACUGUGUGAUGAUGUCCAUAUUAUGUAACUGCUGUGUACGUGAAUAACUGAUCCUGGCACGUACAUGGUUCGCAUUCGGUUUGCCUUCUAAAACCGGGUGUGACACCUAAUUAAUUUUGUGCUAAACACCUAAAACCUCAUAAAACUGUAUCUUUUGAACUGUAGCUCCGAAUUUAGUGGUUCUUGAUCCCACGAUCUCGUAGCGACAUGUAGAUUAUUAUUACGCAGUUUAUUCUUAUGUUUGGUGUAAUGUUAAUUUUGCCUAUGCCGUGUUUGUUUGUAUUGCUACGACUAACGAGAGGUUACGAGCCAUCCGAAGAGCAAGUUGGUACCUGGAAUCUCAAGUCCCAGACAAGUUGUGCCCUUGACCACUUUUUACCCAAUAAUGUUCUUUAAUAUCACUUAUUCAUGCAUAGGUUAAUUUUGAUGGGACCCGAUAGGUCACCCUAGAUUGUUUAUCUCAUUACCUUGUUUACCCCUGAAUCACUUGGGUAGUUUGCUAUUGCUUUACAUGGUUUUGGGAUAAUCAUUUAUUAUAUCUAUGUUCCAAUUAUUUUGUUAUUCUAUUUAUGUUCAUGUCAAGAUCAUUAAUGUUAAUUGGAACAUAGAGCUUAACUUGAGAAACACGUGCCACCACAAGGGUUUAUGGACGCCCUUGGCUGAUUAAUUAGGAAAGCUAGUGGAGGACUACCUUACUCGAAAGGGGCAAGGGCAGUAGGGGAGUGGUCAGUGUAGGGAGGUCCUUGGUUGAUUUUGCUGCGAUGGCGGUCAGGCAAGAACCCUGCAUUGGAGCUUCCUAUAAACUGUAGCGGGUUUUCUGAAGCUAGUGGAACUUUGUAAAGGCCUCGUAGUGUUACCCUGCCUCGCCUCCUCGGUAGAGGUGUAUGGGAAGUCGCGAUCCCUUGGCAGAUGGGUAACAUGACUUGUGGGUAAAGGGUACCACCUCUGUAGAGUGUAAAACUGGUAUACUAGCCGAGCUCACGGUCAUGAGCAGCUCAGGACUCUCUGAUGAUUAAAUUAUGGAACCUAAAUUCAAUUUGUCAUAUGCAUUGCAUCGCAGGUGAGGUUGUUACUUUUGUUCUACUACUUAAUUGGGUUGGUAUUUACUUAUACUUAGUAACUGCUAAUAAAAUUUUGACCAACUUUAAAAGCAAUGCUCAGCUCUAACCAUCCUCUUUGGUAAGCCUUACACUUCACGUGAGCUCCCACCUUUGGCGAGUUCAUGCACAUUAUUCCCCACAACUUGUUGAGCGAUGAACGUAUGUGAGCUCACUCUUGCUGUCUCACACCCCCCACAGGUCAAGAACAGGUACCGCAGGAUGAGGCGCAUGGAGGAUGCUGUGAUGAGUUCGUGAGUGGUCUAGGUCGUCGUCUCCCAGUCAACUUUGGGUUGCUGGACCGUUGUCUCCUUAUAAUGUAAUUAUUUAUUUAUUUUAUAUAGAACUCCUAUUAUGUAGUAAAGAUGUGACAUUCGAUCCUGUGCCAUGAUUCAUCAUAUGUAUGAGACUUGGUCCCAGCACACCUGGUGAUUAUGUUCGCGCCCGGGUCUUGGUGCCCCUAAAACCCGGGUGUGACAGAAGUGGUAUCAGAGGAAUGUUGACUGUAGGACGAAACCUAGAUAGAACUGGAUAACCCUUAUCUACUUACCUUUACUACUCUGAUUCUUUUCUAAACUUCCCUUAAUCUUUUCUCAUCUAAUUCCGCUUACUCUGAUUAUUCUUAUCUUUUCUUUCCAAAGACAAAUGUGGAUUUCACACUUUGAAAUCCCGUACCUAAAGUGACAUUUAGGAAUAGGAGACCUACUCUUAGGGAAAAAAAAUAAAACUAUUUUUAUAGAUAUCUAUGAACUUGAAUGUUUGUUCUUAUGAUAUUUGUAUGAUUUGGAUCUUUGAUUGAGUGUGAUGAAUUGUGGAGUAAUGUCUACAAUUGCAUCUGCAUAUACAUCUAGGCAUAAGGGAGAAUAUUUAUAAAAUAGACAACACAGAUUAUCCCCCAUCAAAGUAUAUCUAGCUUCAUAAGAUCCAACUUAUCUUAAAAGAUUCUCUCUUAUCUUAAUAGAUUCAUCUUAUCUUGAAGGAUUCAUCUUAUCCUAACCACUUUAUUUAUGUCAUCCUAAAGUAACAACUAGGAUCUAAUCAAAAAGAAUGAUAUCAGAUCUAAGUUAUAUCCCACCAUGAUCAUGAGCUAACCCAACCAAUAGAGUCUUGAUGGAUUGUAUAAUCUAUCAACCCCCACCUGACAUCAAACUAGAUUUUUGACCUACAUCAUAUAGUCCAUUUCACCUAUAACUGUUUCAACCAUAUGCCCCAUCUCUACUGAUAUACAUUAACCCCGAUGCAAUGAGGCCAAGACCGGAGAAGGAAAGGAUCAACCUCGUAAAAAAGAAAGAGAGGAAGACGAACUCGAUCUUCAGAUGCAUUACCACCCAACAAGGAUUCACCAUAAACCUUCUUACUCCAGGCUAUUCUUGCCCUAACCUACCUAUCCUUUAUACUACAUAAUAAGUAGCUAGGUAUAAAAGAUACCCAUGCAUUCCUAAUCAACUCCUUAAAACUUAUGGCUUUCUACAUCCCUUUUCUUACAAAUCUCGAGGACGAGAUUAUUUUUAAGGGGGGGUAGGAUUUGUAAUACCCACUUUGUAAGGAAGAAUAAAAGGAGAAAUUGUUUCCUUUAUAUAUGUAUGUGUACCUCUAGUUAUCAUUACAUGUGACCACUCAUGUAAAAAAAGUAGAUCCUUAAUAAGACACAAAUAAACCAUUGCAUCAUAUUGGAUUUUUUGUUUGUGCAUUAAAACCAAUAAUGAUAAUGAGAAGAGUAUUUGAGGAAAAAAAAGAGAAAGAAAGGGAUAAAAUAAAAUAUAAAACAAAGUUUAGAAAUACACAAACUUAACCAUACUGGUAUGAUUAAAAAUCUAAUUUGAGUACAAAUUCAAAGUCAUACUUGAACUUCAAAUUGGGUACUAGUUUCAUACUCAUAUUUUGAAGUUCAAAUUGGGAAUUGAAAAAAAAUAAAAAGAAAAGAAAACAGAAAACAGAAAACAGAAAAUAUAAAAAGAAAAGAAUAAAAAGGCUUCAUGGGCCAAUUCCACUCUAUUAGGCCCAACUUCGAGCCAACUCCUCGCUUCGCGCGGCCCAACUACGUUCUCGCGCUCGCUGGCCCAUCGCACACCCCGGCUCGCUGGCGGGCGGGACCCUCUCGUCAGCCGCUCACCGCACCCGCUGCGCGACCAAACUAUCACGCUGCGCAGUGGGCCCCACGCCUCCCGGUCGUCGUCUUCGCGAGUUUGGCGGACCAUGCCGAACGCCUCGCACUGCCGUUGUGUGGCCCGAGCACCCCGCGAUCUCUGUAACAGAAUCUCGCACCUCCCUGCUACCUCCUCGGCACCGACCUCCAGCCCAUACCCGUCUCGCACUUAGGGCCGUUUGGAUAGGGAUCCUAACGAACUCGACCGUCAACCGUGGAGCCCCGUAUGUUACCGUCGCCGCAACCAACCGGAAUCGGCCUGCUGCCUCAAACGGAUCCCUAGAUUCUCGCCUACCGAUCCUCGCUCAUGCAUGAACUUCACGGGUAUAUACGUAGAGCCGAGCUCGCCAUCGGAAAAUAGAAAGGGGUCACCGCGGUCGCAAGAACAGGAGAGGUGAGAGCAAAGCCGAGAGAAGAGGGAGGGUGUGUGCUCCGUAUCGGUGCGCUGGGUGCCAGACCUUGGUACCUUCAUCGUCGGGAUCUCCGGUUGCCGCUUCUUGCGAGAGAGCAGGAUCGGUGGGCCAUCUGUACGGGCGCAAUUCGCGAUUUCGCGCCAGACCUGUUGCUCCGCCGCGGGCCCGUCCUCCACUGCGAACGCGCGCGUCUUCGCCUCUAACCUCGGUAAAGAACCCUUUCCCUCUGUCCGCUUUCAGCUCCUCCUCGCAGUGCACCGAUCAGAUUUCGCUGUUAGGUGCUUGGGACCGAAAUCGCUGUGCCCCGGGCAUGGCACCACCGCCAGCUCGGGCGGCGCUGCCGUGCUCUGGCGGCCAAGGGAUUAGGGAUGUUCUGGCCGUUGGAUGGCCAGGGAACGACCUUGAUCGGCUCGCGGUGACCUACCCAGCCGAAAGCGAGAUGGGCCGUCCGAUCGGGAUCGAAGGGCGGUGAGAAGGCUAGGAUUCAUUAAACCUAGGUCGUUAGAUCGUGAUCUGAGGGCCAUCCUCGCUUACCGUUUCGGUGUGGGUGCAGUCUAACUGGGCCACCCAUUGUGGAUCGGAUGGCUGAGAUCUAGAGAUACCCCUUCGCCGUGGACGUUUUGCUUAAGAGUCCCUGUUCUUUUUGUAAAUGAACCCGUCGUCCAGUGCGGGGGAAAAUGAGUCUUAAGAAAUUUUAUGAGUUAGACCCCGGGUUCAUUGUUAUUGUGUGCGCAGCCCAGAACUCAGGAAAAUAGGAGAAAUUAAUUUAGAAAAUGAUUUUUAAUGAGAAAAUAAAUGCUAGAAACUUGUAUAAUUCAUAGAAAAUUUAUAUUAAGUCCAAAUUGAUCCAUUCCAGUUCCUAUAAUUUUGUAGUACUAUUGUUUAUCAUUUUGUGUCACUGUUUUGGCAUGAAAGCCAUAUUAAAAUUGAUAUCCUAAUUAAUUUUGUGCUAAACACCUAAAACCUCAUAAAACUGUAUCUUUUGAACUGUAGCUCCGAAUUUAGUGGUUCUUGAUCCCACGAUCUCGUAGCGACAUGUAGAUUAUUAUUACGCAGUUUAUUCUUAUGUUUGGUGUAAUGUUAAUUUUGCCUAUGCCGUGUUUGUUUGUAUUGCUACGACUAACGUGAGGUUACGAGCCAUCCGAAGAGCAAGUUGGUACCUGGAAUCUCAAGUCCCAGACAAGUUGUGCCCUUGACCACUUUUUACCCAAUAAUGUUCUUUAAUAUCACUUAUUCAUGCAUAGGUUAAUUUUGAUGGGACCCGAUAGGUCACCCUAGAUUGUUUAUCUCAUUACCUUGUUUACCCCUGAAUCACUUGGGUAGUUUGCUAUUGCUUUACAUGGUUUUGGGAUAAUCAUUUAUUAUAUCUAUGUUCCAAUUAUUUUGUUAUUCUAUUUAUGUUCAUGUCAAGAUCAUUAAUGUUAAUUGGAACAUAGAGCUUAACUUGAGAAACACGUGCCACCACAAGGGUUUAUGGACGCCCUUGGCUGAUUAAUUAGGAAAGCUAGUGGAGGACUACCUUACUCGAAAGGGGCAAGGGCAGUAGGGGAGUGGUCAGUGUAGGGAGGUCCUUGGUUGAUUUUGCUGCGAUGGCGGUCAGGCAAGAACCCUGCAUUGGAGCUUCCUAUAAACUGUAGCGGGUUUUCUGAAGCUAGUGGAACUUUGUAAAGGCCUCGUAGUGUUACCCUGCCUCGCCUCCUCGGUAGAGGUGUAUGGGAAGUCGCGAUCCCUUGGCAGAUGGGUAACAUGACUUGUGGGUAAAGGGUACCACCUCUGUAGAGUGUAAAACUGGUAUACUAGCCGAGCUCACGGUCAUGAGCAGCUCAGGACUCUCUGAUGAUUAAAUUAUGGAACCUAAAUUCAAUUUGUCAUAUGCAUUGCAUCGCAGGUGAGGUUGUUACUUUUGUUCUACUACUUAAUUGGGUUGGUAUUUACUUAUACUUAGUAACUGCUAAUAAAAUUUUGACCAACUUUAAAAGCAAUGCUCAGCUCUAACCAUCCUCUUUGGUAAGCCUUACACUUCACGUGAGCUCCCACCUUUGGCGAGUUCAUGCACAUUAUUCCCCACAACUUGUUGAGCGAUGAACGUAUGUGAGCUCACUCUUGCUGUCUCACACCCCCCACAGGUCAAGAACAGGUACCGCAGGAUGAGGCGCAUGGAGGAUGCUGUGAUGAGUUCGUGAGUGGUCUAGGUCGUCGUCUCCCAGUCAACUUUGGGUUGCUGGACCGUUGUCUCCUUAUAAUGUAAUUAUUUAUUUAUUUUAUACAGAACUCCUAUUAUGUAGUAAAGAUGUGACAUUCGAUCCUGUGCCAUGAUUCAUCAUAUGUAUGAGACUUGGUCCCAGCACACCUGGUGAUUAUGUUCGCGCCCGGGUCUUGGUGCCCCUAAAACCAGGGUGUGACAGUUGCAGAGGUUCUUGAUUUGGUUUUGUUAGUCACCCUUCCUUUGGGGAGAUGUACUGUGUUUAUCAAACUGGAGAAACCUAACGGGAGGCUAUGACCUCUGGGGAAUCUUUGUAAAGGCUACAUAGUGAGACUCUGCUAGGUCACCUUGGUAGUGAUCAGUGGGGAGGCUAGAACCCAGGGCAGAAAGGGAAUCACGACUUGUGGGUAAAGUGUGCGACCUCUGCAGAGUGUUAGAAAUCGGUAUAUCAGCCAUGCUCACGGUUAUGAGCGGCCUUGGGAUCCUCUUUGAUUAGAAGAACUUUGGUUACUUUUAUGAUGAUGGUUAGCAAUGAUGGUUAUAAUUUUGACCUCCGGUAUUUCUGUAACGCCCUGAAUUUGGGGGUAGAAUUUUUUCUUCUUUUCUCUCACCAAAUUCGGGCGUUACUCUCUUUUCUCUUUCCCCGUUUGCUCCUUCUUCCCAAUUUCAAACCCGUAUAGCGGCAGGUGUCCGUGUCAUGUAUAAACCAAAACCUAAGUGUCAUGGGUGUUGCAUCAUGCCGAAGCACAUUUCUUUGCCUGAUGUUGAGUGUUCGUCUCGUUCCGUCCCGGAUUUCGGUUCGCGAUUUAAUUCCGUUUAGUGGUCCGCGCUCGUCGUGGGUUUUCGAUCCGCGAAGUGGCCCGGCCCAGCCCAACCUAGUCCAGCCAGCCCAGCCGGCCCGGCCCGCCCCGGCCUGCGCGCCCCUGGCGCCUAAACCCCCCAUGCGCCCCCCCCCCCUCCCCUCCUCUCUCUCUCUCAUUUGGAUCUCCCGCGCAACAACCUCUCCUCUCCUUCUUCCACCUCUCUCUCCCCGUGGUGCCCUAGGGUUUGGAGACGGCGAUCACCGGAUUUUGGACCCCGAGGUGAGCUCCCCUCCACUCCCCUUCUCCUCUCUCUCUCUCUCCCUCCUCUCCUUCCUCCCCACGCGCGCCCCUUUCUCCCCCUGCCCGCGCGCGACCCCGACCCCGACCCCGGCCUCCCCGGCGGCGCGGCCCCCGCCCGGCCCCCUCGGCGCGGCGGCGCGGCCCCCGCUCGGCCCCCUCGGCGCGGCGGCGCGGCCCCCGCCCGGCCCCCUCCCCGCGGCGGCGCCCCGGCCCCCCGCUCGGCCCCUCCCCGCGGCGGCGCUCGGCCCCGCCCGGCCUCCCUCGGCGCGGCGGCGCUCGACCCCUCCCCGGCGGCGCUCGGCAUCGCCCGGCCUCCCCGGCGGCGCUCGGCCCCCGCUCGCCCCCCUCCCCCUCCCUCCCCGGCGGCGUUCGGCCCCCGUGAAAGGGAAAUGUGCCCUUGGGCCAUUUCUAAGUAUUUUGGUGAUUGAGUGUCAACACAAGUGCUUCAAUGUGAAUCAAUGCCCAUGGAUGAACAAAGUGCAAAUCUUCAACAAAGGUAUGUUUCUAAGUCUUAGUACAUUGGUUUUGUGUACUAAUAUAUUUGUCUAAGUGUUAGAAACAGAUAGAAGAAGAGAAGAGAAGACUUGGCUGUGUACAGCCAAGGGGCUGUUUCGGUCUGGGGCACCGGACUGUCCGGUGGUGCACCGGACAGUGUCCGGUGGUGCACCGGACAGUGUCCGGUGCGCCAGGCUCCCUCGGCCGAAGAGCCCGCUCUCGGGAAUUUGCUGACGGCGUACGGCUAAAAUUCACCGGACUGUCCGGUGUGCACCGGACUGUCCGGUGAGCCAACGGUCGGCCAGGACCAACGGUCGGCCGCGCGAUCAGCGCAGGACACGUGACCGAGCCAACGGUCGGAAGGGGGCACCGGACUGUCCGGUGUGCACCGGACAUGUCCGGUGCGCCAACGGCUCCCGCAUCUGUAACGGUCGGCUUCGCCAUUUAAGGAAAGGAAUCGGGCACCGGACUGUCCGGUGCGCCCGACGACAGAAGGCAAAGAUGGCCUUCCAGAUUUGUUCUCAACGGCUCCUAGCUGCCUUGGGGCUAUAAAAGGGACCCCUAGGCGCAUGGAGGAGAACACCAAGCAACUCUUGAGCAUUCUUGAUCAUCCACACUCAGUCUUUGCGCAUCCAUUUGUGAUUCUAAGUGAUUCGAGCUCUGUUCUUGUGAGAAACUGUGAGAUAGUCUUUGAGCUCGAAUCUUGGCCGUGUGUGUGCGCGUUUCGCUGUGGAUUUGUGUGUGUUGCUUCCCUCCCUCACUCCGUGCUUCUUUGUGAAUCUUAAGUGUAAGGGCGAGAGACUCCAAUUUGUGGAGAUUCCUCGCAAGUGGGAUAAAGAUAAGCAAGGCAAAAUACUGUGGUAUUCAAGUGGGUCUUUGGACCGCUUGAGAGGGGUUGAUUGCAACCCUCGUCCGUUGGGACGCCACAACGUGGAGUAGGCAAGUUUUGUACUUGGCCGAACCACGGGAUAAAUCACCGUGUCUCCUCUGUGUUGAAUUCUCUGUGAUUGUCGUAUUGUGCAAGAUCUUCUCUUUAGCCACUUGGCAAUUAUUGUGCUAACCUCUAACAAGUUUUUGUGGCUAUAAGUUAAGUUUUUACAGGAUCACCUAUUCACCCCCCCCUCUAGGUGCUCUCAAUUGGUAUCGGAGCCGUUCUCUUCACAAAGGGACUUACCGCCCGAAGAGAUGGAUCCUAAGGGGAAGGGAAUCGUGAUCAACGACAAAGAGAAGGAAUCCUUCGUCAACGAGCCGAAGGACGACAAGCCUACCGACUCCGGCUCGGGGCAUAGACGGAAGGAAGGGAAGAAGAAGAAGACAAGGCGCAUAAAGGAGAUCAUCUACUACAACGAUAGUGAUGAGUCUACUUCUUCCCAAAAGGAUGAUGACAACGACUACAAAAAGACGGUCAAUUCGAACUUUUCAUUUGAUUAUUCUCGUAUUCAACAUAGUUCGAAUUCGCAUUUGCUUUCCAUUCCUCUUGGCAAACCUCCACACUUCGAUGGGGAGGACUACGGAUUUUGGAGUCACAAAAUGCGUAGUCACUUAUUCUCUCUCCAUCCAAGCAUAUGGGAGAUUGUGGAGAAUGGAAUGAAAUUUGAUAGCUCGGAUAGUCCUAUGCUUAUAAAUGAACAAAUUCAUAGAAAUGCACAAGCUACUACUGUUCUCUUAGCGUCUUUGUGCAGGGAAGAGUACAAUAAGGUGAGUGGCUUGGACAAUGCCAAGCAGAUAUGGGACACCCUCAAGAUCUCUCACGAGGGGAACGACAUCACCAUGCUCACCAAGAUGGAGUUGGUGGAGGGCGAGCUUGGACGAUUCGCCAUGAUAAGGGGAGAGGAGCCAACUCAAACUUACAACCGGCUCAAGACUCUUAUCAACAAAAUAAGGAGCUACGGAAGCACACGUUAGACGGAUCACGACGUCGUCCGCCUAAUGCUCAGGUCCUUUACCGUUCUUGAUCCUCAUCUCGUGAACAAUAUUCGUGAGAAUCCCAGGUACACGAUGAUGACGCCCGAGGAAGUACUUGGAAAAUUCGUGAGCGGGCAGAUGAUGAUCAAGGAGGCAAGAUACGUCGACGACGCAUUGAAUGGUCCACUCCAUGAGCCUCAACCCAUUGCUCUAAAGGCAACGAGGAGCAAGGAGUCGCUUCCUAGCAAGGUGGCGCAAGUUGAGGCGGCCGGGCUCAAUGAUGAAGAGAUGGCUCUCAUCAUCAAGAGAUUCAAGACGGCGCUAAAAGGUCGAAAGGGACAGCCAAGCAAGGCCAAGACCAAGGGAAAGCGAUCAUGCUUCAAAUGCGGUAAGCUUGGUCAUUUUAUUGCUAACUGUCCCGAAAAUGAUAGUGACCAGGAGCAAGAGAAAAAUGGGAAGAGAGAGAACAAGAAGGCUUACAAGAAGGCCAAAGGCGAAGCACACCUUGGAAAGGAGUGGGAUUCGGAUUGCUCUUCGUCCGACUCCGACGACGAAGGACUCGCCGCCACUGCCUUCAACAAAUCGGCUCUCUUCCCCAAUGAGCAUCACACUUGCCUCAUGGCAAGGGAAAAGAAGGUAAUCACUCGUAAUGCUAAUACUUAUGAGUCUUCUAGUGAUGAUGAAUCUAGUGAGGAUGAAAUUGAUUACUCUAGUUUAUUCAAGGGAUUGGAUAGAACUAAGAUAGCUAAGAUUAAUGAGUUGAUCGAUGCCCUAAAUGAAAAGGAUAGAACCUUAGAGAAACAAGAAGACCUCUUAUAUGAAGAACAUGAUAAAUUUGUUAGUGCACAAAAUUCACUUGCUCUAGAAGUUAAAAGAAAUGGAAUACUUUCUUGUGAACUUUCUACUUGUAAUGAAACCAUUUCUUCUUUAAAAGGUGAAAUUAACGAUUUAACUGCUAAACUAGAAGUAGCAAGUAACUCGUAUGUUGAAAAUAUUACAAUUUGCACUAGGUGUAAGGAUUUUGAUGUUAAUGCUUGUAGUGAACACUUAGUUUCAAUUUCAAAACUAAAUGAUGAAGUGGCUAGUCUUAAUGCUCAACUUAAGACUAGCAAGAGUGAAGUUGAUAAAAUAAAAUUUGCAAGGGAUGCCUACACAGUGGGUAGACACCCCUCAAUUAAGGAUGGUCUUGGCUUCAAGAGAGAAGCCAAGAACUUAACAAGCCAUAAGACUCCUAUCUCCACCAAGGAGAAAGGGAAGGCUCCUAUGGCUAAUAGUGUUAAGAAGAAUCAUGCUUUCAUGUACUAUGAUAGGAGAUACUCUAGAAAUGCUUUUAGAAGUAAUGAUGUUUUUGAUUCACAUGCUUAUGACUCUUAUGCUAUGACUGCUUCUAGUUCUCAUGUUAUGCAUGGUAGAAAUGUGUUUAGAAGAAAUGUUGUUCACCAAAUGCCUAGGAGAAAUGUAGUUCAUAAUGCUCCUAGGAAAGUAGUGAAUGAACCUUCCGAAAUUUAUUGUGCUCUAAAUGCUUCCUUUGCUAUUUGUAGAAAGGAUAAGAAAAUUGUUGCUAGAAAGUUAGGGGCAAGAUGCAAGGGAGAUAAAACUUGCAUUUGGGUCCCUAAGAAUAUUUGUGCUAACCUUGUAGGACCCAACAUGAGUUGGGUACCUAAGUCCCAAGCCUAAAUUUGCCUUGCAGGUUUAUGCAUCUGGGGGUUCAAGCUGGAUUAUUGAUAGCGGAUGCACAAACCAUAUGACGGGGGAGAAGAAGAUGUUCACCUCCUACGUCAAGAAUAAGGAUUCCCAAGAUUCAAUUAUAUUCGGUGAUGGGAAUCAAGGCAAGGUAAAAGGGUUAGGUAAAAUUGCGAUUUCUAAUGAGCAUUCUAUCUCUAAUGUAUUUUUAGUAGAGAGUCUUGGAUAUAAUUUGCUAUCUGUUAGUCAAUUAUGUCAUAUGGGGUAUAACUGUCUAUUUACAAAUGUAGAUGUGUCUGUCUUUAGAAGAAGUGAUGGUUCACUAGCUUUUAAGGGUGUAUUAGACGGCAAACUUUAUUUAGUUGAUUUUGCAAAAGAAGAGGUCGGUCUAGAUGCAUGCUUAAUAGCUAAGACUAGCAUGGGCUGGCUGUGGCAUCGCCGCUUAGCACAUGUGGGGAUGAAGAACCUUCACAAGCUUCUAAAGGGAGAACACGUGAUAGGUUUGACUAACGUGCAUUUCGAAAAAGAUAGACCUUGUGCAGCUUGUCAAGCAGGUAAACAAGUGGGAGGAGCACAUCACAGCAAGAACGUGAUGACCACUUCAAGACCCCUGGAGCUGCUGCAUAUGGACCUCUUCGGACCUGUCGCCUAUCUAAGCAUAGGAGGGAGUAAGUAUGGUUUAGUUAUUGUUGAUGAUUUUUCCCGCUUCACUUGGGUGUUCUUUUUGCAGGAUAAGUCUGAAACCCAAGGGACCCUCAAGCGUUUCCUCAGGAGAGCUCAAAAUGAGUUUGAGCUCAAGGUGAAGAAGAUAAGGAGCGACAACGGGUCCGAAUUCAAGAACCUUCAAGUAGAGGAAUUCCUUGAGGAGGAAGGGAUCAAGCACGAGUUCUCCGCUCCCUACACACCACAGCAAAAUGGUGUGGUAGAGAGGAAGAACAGGACGCUAAUCGAUAUGGCGAGGACAAUGCUUGGAGAAUUCAAGACCCCCGAGUGUUUCUGGUCGGAAGCCGUGAACACGGCUUGCCACGCCAUCAACAGGGUCUACCUCCAUCGCCUCCUCAAGAAGACUUCGUAUGAGCUUCUAACCGGUAACAAACCCAAUGUAUCUUACUUUCGUGUAUUUGGGAGCAAGUGCUACAUUCUAGUGAAGAAAGGUAGAAAUUCUAAGUUUGCUCCCAAAGCUGUAGAAGGAUUUUUGUUAGGUUAUGACUCAAAUACAAAGGCGUAUAGAGUCUUCAACAAAUCAUCGGGUUUGGUUGAAGUCUCUAGCGACGUUGUAUUUGAUGAGACUAAUGGCUCUCCAAGAGAGCAAGUUGUUGAUUGUGAUGAUGUAGAUGAAGAAGAUGUUCCGACGGCCGCUAUACGGACCAUGGCGAUUGGAGAAGUACGGCCACAGGAACAAGAUGAACGAGAUCAACCUUCUUCCUCAACCAUGGUGCAUCCCCAACCGAAGAUGACGAACAGGUACCUCAAGUGGAGGCGCUUGAUCAAGGGGGAGCACAAGAUGAUCAAGUGAUGGAGGAAGAAGCGCAACCGGCACCUCCAACCCAAGUUCGAGCGAUGAUUCAAAGGGAUCAUCCCGUCGAUCAAAUUCUGGGUGACAUUAGCAAGGGAGUAACUACUCGAUCUCGAUUAGUUAAUUUUUGUGAGCAUUACUCCUUUGUCUCUUCUAUUGAGCCUUUCAGGGUAGAGGAGGCCUUGCUAGAUCCGGAUUGGGUAUUGGCCAUGCAGGAGGAGCUCAACAACUUCAAGCGCAAUGAAGUUUGGACACUGGUGCCUCGUCCGAAGCAAAAUGUUGUGGGAACCAAGUGGGUGUUCCGCAACAAACAGGACGAGCACGGGGUGGUGACGAGGAACAAGGCUCGACUUGUGGCAAAAGGUUAUGCCCAAGUCGCAGGUUUGGAUUUUGAGGAGACUUUCGCUCCUGUCGCUAGGCUAGAGUCCAUUCGUAUCUUGCUAGCAUAUGCCGCUCACCAUUCUUUCAGGUUGUACCAAAUGGAUGUGAAGAGCGCUUUCCUCAACGGGCCAAUCAAGGAGGAAGUGUACGUGGAGCAACCCCCUGGCUUCGAGGAUGAACGGUACCCCGACCACGUGUGUAAGCUCUCUAAGGCGCUCUAUGGACUUAAGCAAGCCCCAAGAGCAUGGUAUGAAUGCCUUAGAGACUUUUUAAUUGCUAAUGCUUUCAAGGUUGGGAAAGCCGAUCCAACUCUUUUUACAAAGACAUGUGAUGGUGAUUUGUUUGUGUGCCAAAUUUAUGUCGAUGACAUAAUAUUUGGUUCUACUAACCAAAAGUCUUGUGAAGAGUUUAGCAGGGUGAUGACACAGAAAUUCGAGAUGUCGAUGAUGGGCGAGUUGAACUACUUCCUUGGGUUCCAAGUGAAGCAACUCAAGGACGGCACCUUCAUCUCCCAAACGAAGUACACGCAAGAUCUGCUAAAACGGUUUGGGAUGAAGGACGCCAAGCCCGCAAAGACUCCGAUGGGGACCGACGGACACACCGACCUCAACAAAGGAGGUAAGUCCGUUGAUCAAAAAGCAUACCGGUCAAUGAUAGGUUCUUUGCUUUACUUAUGUGCUAGUAGACCGGAUAUUAUGCUUAGCGUAUGCAUGUGUGCUAGAUUUCAAUCCGAACCUAAGGAGUGUCACUUAGUGGCGGUGAAGCGAAUUCUUAGAUAUUUGGUUGCUACGCCUUGCUUCGGGCUCUGGUAUCCAAAGGGGUCUACCUUUGACUUAGUUGGAUACUCAGACUCCGACUAUGCUGGAUGUAAGGUCGAUAGGAAGAGUACAUCGGGGACGUGCCAAUUCUUAGGAAGGUCCCUGGUGUCAUGGAACUCUAAGAAACAAACAUCCGUUGCCCUAUCCACCGCUGAGGCCGAGUACGUUGCCGCAGGUCAGUGUUGCGCGCAACUACUUUGGAUGAGGCAAACCCUCCGGGACUUUGGCUACAAUCUGAGCAAAGUCCCACUCCUAUGUGACAAUGAGAGUGCUAUCCGCAUGGCGGAGAAUCCUGUUGAGCACAGCCGCACAAAGCACAUAGACAUCCGGCAUCACUUUUUGAGAGACCACCAGCAAAAGGGAGAUAUCGAAGUGUUUCAUGUUAGCACCGAGAACCAGCUAGCCGAUAUCUUCACUAAGCCUCUAGAUGAGAAGAUCUUUUGCAGGUUGCGUAGUGAGCUAAAUGUCAUAGAUUCGCGGAACCUGGAUUGAAUUGUAGCAUACAUGUACUUAUGCUUUUGAUCAUGUUCCUUUUUGCAUUUUGUUGCUUAUUAUGGUGCUCAAGUUGUCCAAACACUCCCUGGACCUCACAAGUCCGUUGCAAAGUGAUGCACAUGUCUAGGGGGAGAUGUGUUACAACUUGACCCUUUGAGACUAACCAUGUGCUUGAGUUUGAUAAUUUAGUCUCGAAGGAGGAUUGAAAGGGAAAAGGUGGACUUGGACCAUGAAAGACUUCCACUGCACUCCGAUGAGAGGGUAACUAAUUCCAAGUUCAUCUCAUGAAAUCUUAUUGCCAUUUGCUCUUAAUUGAAGACUUUGGUGAGGCAAUGGGGUUAAAAGGCCAAGAUUGAUCCCGUUUUGGUGCUUCAUGCCAAAGGGGGAGAAAAUAAAGGCCAAAGUGAUAAAUGGAUCAGCUACCACUUGAGAGAUUUUGAAAAUAGUAGAAUAGAGUUUUUGUUGUGUCAAAAGGCUUUUAUUAUCUCGUAUUGUCUCUAUUGUCAAAAGUUGGCUUCUUGUGGGGAGAAGUGUUGAUUAUGGGAAAUAGGGGGAGUUUUUGAAAUCUUUGAUCAAUCUCUUUUGGAAUGACUCUCUUUAUGCUUCAACAUGUGUGUUUGACUUAGAUAUAGAGAUUUGAGUUUGAUUUGCAAAAACAAACUAAGUGGUGGCAAAGGAUGAUCCAUAUAUGCCAACAAUGAAUCAAAACCAAUUUGAGUUUUUAUUUGAAGUGAUUUUGCACUUGUUCUAUCUGCUUUAUGUUGUGUUGGCAUAAAUCACCAAAAAGGGGGAGAUUGAAAGGGAAAUGUGCCCUUGGGCCAUUUCUAAGUAUUUUGGUGAUUGAGUGUCAACACAAGUGCUUCAAUGUGAAUCAAUGCCCAUGGAUGAACAAAGUGCAAAUCUUCAACAAAGGUAUGUUUCUAAGUCUUAGUACAUUGGUUUUGUGUACUAAUAUAUUUGUCUAAGUGUUAGAAACAGAUAGAAGAAGAGAAGAGAAGACUUGGCUGUGUACAGCCAAGGGGCUGUUUCGGUCUGGGGCACCGGACUGUCCGGUGGUGCACCGGACAGUGUCCGGUGGUGCACCGGACAGUGUCCGGUGCGCCAGGCUCCCUCGGCCGAAGAGCCCGCUCUCGGGAAUUUGCUGACGGCGUACGGCUAAAAUUCACCGGACUGUCCGGUGUGCACCGGACUGUCCGGUGAGCCAACGGUCGGCCAGGACCAACGGUCGGCCGCGCGAUCAGCGCAGGACACGUGACCGAGCCAACGGUCGGAAGGGGGCACCAGACUGUCCGGUGUGCACCGGACAUGUCCGGUGCGCCAACGGCUCCCGCAUCUGUAACGGUCGGCUUCACCAUUUAAGGAAAGGAAUCGGGCACCGGACUGUCCGGUGCGCCCGACGACAGAAGGCAAAGAUGGCCUUCCAGAUUUGUUCUCAACGGCUCCUAGCUGCCUUGGGGCUAUAAAAGGGACCCCUAGGCGCAUGGAGGAGAACACCAAGCAACUCUUGAGCAUUCUUGAUCAUCCACACUCAGUCUUUGCGCAUCCAUUUGUGAUUAUAAGUGAUUCGAGCUCUGUUCUUGUGAGAAACUGUGAGAUAGUCUUUGAGCUCGAAUCUUGGCCGUGUGUGUGCGCGUUUCGCUGUGGAUUUGUGUGUGUUGCUUCCCUCCCUCACUCCGUGCUUCUUUGUGAAUCUUAAGUGUAAGGGCGAGAGACUCCAAUUUGUGGAGAUUCCUCGCAAGUGGGAUAAAGAUAAGCAAGGCAAAAUACUGUGGUAUUCAAGUGGGUCUUUGGACCGCUUGAGAGGGGUUGAUUGCAACCCUCGUCCGUUGGGACGCCACAACGUGGAGUAGGCAAGUUUUGUACUUGGCCGAACCACGGGAUAAAUCACCGUGUCUCCUCUGUGUUGAAUUCUCUGUGAUUGUCGUAUUGUGCAAGAUCUUCUCUUUAGCCACUUGGCAAUUAUUGUGCUAACCUCUAACAAGUUUUUGUGGCUAUAAGUUAAGUUUUUACAGGAUCACCUAUUCACCCCCCCCCCUCUAGGUGCUCUCACCCCGCUCGGCCCUCCCCGGCGCGGCGGCGCCCGUCCCUGGCCUCCCCUCGCGUGGCCCCGCCCCGGCCCCCAGCGGCGCUCGGCCUCGCCCCCUGCCGGCCCCGGCCCCUGCGCGCGGCCCCGCCCCUCGGCUCGGCCGGCCGUGGUGGCUCGGCGCCCUCCCGUGGCGCGGCGAGCCCGCUCGCCCGCGCGCCCCCCCGCCCCUGGCCGGUUCAACCGCCCCCUGGCCGGUUCAACCGCCCUGGCCCCAGCUCGGCCGCCCGUUCCCCGUCCCGACCUCGCCCGACCGUGUCCCCGCUCGCCCGCGCUCGCGAUGAUUAUUUGUUAAUUAGCGUGUUGCGUCGCGCGCUUCGCCGCGCGACGGAUUUGUCUAAAAUUCAGAUUCUAUCCUGUGUUGCGUCGUGCGCUUCGUCGCGCGACGAUCCAUUUUGUUUCAGGUUGUUUAAGGUGUAACGCCGCGUGUGUAUUCACGCGACGUUCCACUUUGGACUCAGUUUAGUCGACGUCUGCCGUCGUGCGCUUCGUCGCGCGACGCUUAACGUCUCCUCUUAACUAAGGCAAAGUGUCUCGUUGCGUGCUCAGUCGCGCGACGAGUCGUUAGUUUCUUAAUUUGUUUUAGAGAGCUUUGUCGCGCGUCUCGCCGCGCGACCAUCCUUUUAUGUAUCUCCACCUGCUUAUAAUAAUUAGACAUGAAACAUGACUUUACUUUACGCUAAACAUAGUGUCUACAUUAAAUUUCCGUCCAUUAAGCGAGUGGUUAAUUUAUAAUCAUGUAACGUGAUCCUUUCUCGACUGUCUUUUUCCCUUUCUCUCUUAACCGUACUCGCGAGCCUGCGUAGAACGUCUGUUUACUUAUUGCAUUCUAUUGUAUGGUGUACUGUUCUUUGGUAUUAAAUAUGUGGAUGUGUGUAUGUUUGCGCUCGCAUAGAGAACGAUCCGGUUGAAGAGCCCGAGGAACCCGCAGGAGAAGCCCCUGAGCAGCAGUCGGUUGGUGGAGGCAAGUGUCCCUUGACCUAUCUAUGUCCUAUUCACUAUUUAAUUCACCUCCCGCUUUACACAUUUAUGCCUAAGGAUUGACUAGCUUUUGUGAUCCAUGUCCUUGUUCACCUACUUGGGUUGGAUUAUUAUUGUUUAGCUUUAUGCUAUUGCUCAAACUCUAAUCAAUGAACAUGAUGAGAUUAUCUAUGAUACGCUGUUUUCCCUUCUCUUAUUAUGAUGUUAUGCUUGUGGCCUUUAAGGGGGCUCGAGCGGUUUCUCGAGUGCCUCUCCGUAAGGACCUGUUCUAUGGAUGACCGCCCGGGAAAACAGUGCAACCAUGAGGGUGGAAUGGGAUGCCCUUAGCUGAAUAAUUAGAGGAUCCGGGGUGUAGUUCACUUAGCCGUCGUGCCGUCAAUGGGGCUCGGUGUAUGCGGCUCGCUCUGCCAAGUUUGGGUUCGCCCCUUGGGGAGGAGUGCGGUGCAUUUAGGAAACCUAACGGGUGGCUACAGCCCCGGGGAAUCUUUGUAAAGGCUACGUAGUGAUGCCCUGCUGGGUCACCUUGGUAGUGAUCAAUGGAGAGUCAUGAUCUCCGGGCAGAAUGGGAAUCACGGCUUGUGGGUAAAGUGCACAACCUCUGCAGAGUGUUUGAAAACUGAUAUAUCAGUCGUGCUCGCGGUUAUGAGCGGCCAAGGGAGCUCCAGUGAUUAGUGGUACUUGAUCAGAGACAUUAUGGUACAGGUGGUUAUGAGAUCGAUGGUUCUGGUUAUGACUUUGGUGCUGGUAAGUGGUAUUCUUUCCGUUUGGAAAGGGUACAUCGGGCUAAUAACUUGGGUUAAUGCUAAAACUUGGCUUUCUAUUAGUAGAUAAUAAUUUGACCAACUAAAAGCAACUGCUUGACUUAUCCCCACAUAAAGCUAGUCCACUACAGCCAAACAGGAUACUUGCUGAGUAUGUUGAUGUGUACUCACCCUUGCUCUACACACCAAACCCCCCCCCAUCCCCAGGUUGUCAGCAUUGCAACCACUGCUCAGGCGAAGAUGAAGCCGUGGAAGGAGACUUCCAGGAGUUCCAAGAUUACGACGAGUUCUAGGUGUGGGUUAGCGGCAACCCCCAGUCGGCUGCCUGUGAAGGCCGCGGUUAUCUACGUUUCUUUUCCGCACUUUGAUUUAUUGUAAGAAUUAUAUGGACGUCUCAGACGUAUGAUGUAAUCGACUUUUUCCCUUAUUAAUACUAUUUUGAGCAUUGUGUGAUGAUGUCCAUGUUAUGUAACUGCUGUGUACGUGAAUAACUGAUCCUAGCACGUACAUGGUUCGCAUUCGGUUUGCCUUCUAAAACCGGGUGUGACAAUUUCCUCUUGGAGGGAGUGCUUCUAAGUAAUAACUGGUUUAUUACUAAAAUUUGGCUCUUAUAGUAAUAAAACUUUACCAACUAAAAGCAACUGCUUAACCUUAACUCCACAUACAGCUAGUCCACUUUAGCCAAACAAGACAUUUGUUGAGUACGUUGUUGUGUACUCACCCUUGCUUUACAAACCACCCCACCCUAGGUUGUCCCCACUGUACUCAGUGCUCAGGAGGAGAUGCUGGCAACAUGAAGGACUUUGAGGAGUUUCAGGACUACAAUGAGUUCUAGUUUAUCUUAGUGGCAAACCCCCAGUCAGCUGCCUGUGUAGGCUUAUCCUCUACGUUUUGUAUUUCUGCACUUUGAUAUUAAUGUUGAAGACUAUGGCUAUGUAUUAGACUCUGUGGAUGUCUUGGACAUCUUGAUGUAAUUAAAGUACCUUUCUGCUAUUUUCGCUAUUUACUUGCUUUCGACUACUGUGAAUCAAGAACAAGGCAACACAUUUGUUAUACGUUAAAGACCUUCGUCCUUCGAAGCAUUAUUCCCCUUUGGGUAUAACGAUUCUUGGACGAAGGUCAUGAAGAACAAGUCUUCAUCAUUCAUGGAUAUAAAAACAUAGUCACAAAUGUAAUAUCAUACCAUAUAAUCAUUUCGUAUUGAAUGUAUUAAUAACAUUAAACUCAUAUUACAUUGGUACCUUCGGCUUGUUUGAAGGCAAUGACGUGCAUGCAAUUACAAUUUAGCGUGAACAGUACGGGGUACUGGGGUACUGUUCAUCUAUUUAUAGGCAAUCGUACAGCUUCGUACGAUAUUACACUCACAUCCACGAAAAUUUCAUACAAGGUUUACACAUGUCACAGGGAUAGUAUUGUCAUUUUCACUUACCAGCUUGAACAACACCUUCUCCCUACGUCGCCUUCCUGCUUCAUCGUGACGAAGCUUUCUUCGUCGUACUUCCAUUGAUCUAUGUCAAUGCUUUUCUAGUAACGAAGCUCCUAUAAUACUUAAUAAUAUGCUAAAAAUAAAUGGUUAGCCAUGUUUUUGAAGACCUUCGGAAGACUAAGGCCCCCAACACGAAUGAUGAAUUAUCAUAGUUGGAUGAUGAACGAUAAAUAGUUGGUAUGAACGAAUGAUGAACGAUGGAUAGUUGGAUGAACAAACUAUGAACAAUCAAUAGUUGGUAUGAACGAACUAUGAACGAUGAAUAGUUGAUAUGAACGAAGAAUCGUUGGUAUAAACGAACGAUGAAUAGUUUGUAUGAACGAAUGAUGAAUAGUUUGUAUGAACGAACAAUGAACGAUGAAAAGAUGGUAUGAACGAACGAUGAAUAUUUGGUAUGAAUGAACUACGAACAUAGAAUAGUUUGUAUGAAUGAAUGACGAACGAUGAAUAGUUUCAUGAACGAACUAUGAAUGAAGAAUAGUUGGUAUGAACGAACUAUGAACGAUGAAUAGUUCAUAUGAACGAAGUAUGAUCGAUGAAUAAUUGGUAUGAAUGAACUAUGACUGAAUGAUCGAUCGGACGAACGAAUAUUGUGCUUGUGUGGGAGUGGGAAGAAGUGGGAGUGUGUGACUGGGUUGCCAUGAAAUGGUUUGGGUGGCUUGGGGGUUGCCCCUCUAAGCAAGGUGACAGAUUAAUGGGAGAUAAGCAUGCAAUUAGUCUAGGUAACAGUAAUUAGCAUGUAGAGCUUAUUUUAUGAUAGCAUGGGUGUAUGGAUGCGUAUGAGAUUUAAGUGGUGCAAGGGAAAUUAGCAAGAAAAUAUUUGUACGGACUUUAAAAUAAUUCUUGAAAGGGAAAUGGGCUAGUUAACCAUUUCUACCUGUUUUGGUUCGUAUCAUAAUCAAAGUACAUUAGAAAUAACAUGGGCAAUCUCCCACAGGAAGAUGACCGGAGCAUCGAUAGACUUAGUACUCAUCAAUAUCUUCGUCAAAGUCUUCCUCAUCGCCUUCUGAUCAAAAAUUUAGCAAGGGGUGAGCUCACUUAUGGUGGGGGCUCAGCAAAUGGAAGGAGAUAUGCAAGGUUAACAAGGUAGGCUAUGGUUAAGCGAUAAGCAUUUUAGUUGGUCAAUAUUUUAUUAACAACGCCUAACUUACUAAUUGUAAGUGUAUCCCAAUAUCCAAUUAAUCAUGAGCAUAAUGAUUGUAUCUCAAAGCACUUAAGUGAAACCACUUAAAAACCAUAGGACCACAAUUUAUUCUCUAUCUUUAAGUUCGAUUAUCAUAUGAGGGUAUAGGUUGCUCUUAACCGUGAACACGGUUGAUAUAUCAGUUUUACACUCUGCAGAGGUGGUACAACUUUAACCACAAGCCAUGUAUCCCCUCUAGUCUGGGUUGUACGUACCCUUAAACACUACCGAGGUGAAUGGCUAGGGAUCCACUAUGAGGUUUUCACAAAAUACACUUACAGGGCGUUUGGAUCCCUUCAUUUUAGAGGAAUUGAAAUUCACUCAAUAAAGUAACUUAUUUAGUUUGGAAUUUGACAUUCCACCAUGUCACACCCGGUUUUAGAAGGCAAACCGAGUGCGAACCAUGUACGUGCCAGGAUCAGUUAUUCACGUACACAGCAGCUACAUAACAUGGACAUCAUCACACAGUGCUCAAAAUAGUAUUAAAAGGGAAAUAAUAGUCGAUUACAUCAUACGUCUGAGACGUCCAUAUAGUCCUUACAAUAAAUCAAAGUGCGGAAAAGAAACGUAGAUAACCGCGGCCUUCACAGGCAGCCGACUGGGGAUUGCCGCUAACCCACGCCUAGAACUCGUCGUAGUCUUGGAACUCCUGGAAGUCUCCUUCCACAGCUUCUUCUUCGCCUGAGCAGUGGUUGCAAUGCUGACAACCUGGGGAUGGGGGGGGGUUUGGUGUGUAGAGCAAGGGUGAGUACACAUCAACAUACUCAGCAAGUAUCCUGUUUGGCUGUAGUAGACUAGCUUUAUGUGGGGAUAAGUCAAGCAGUUGCUUUUAGUUGGUCAGAUUAUUAUUUACUAAUGGAAAGCCAGGUUUUAGCAUUAACCCAAGUUAUUAGCCCGAUGUACCCUUUCCAAACGGAAAGAAUACCACUUACCAGCACCAUAGUCAUAACCAAAACCAUCGAUCUCAUAGCCACCUGUACCAAAGUAUCUCUGAUCAAGUACCACUAAUCACUGGAGCUCCCUUGGCCGCUCAUAACCGCGAGCACGGCUGAUAUAUCAGUUUUCAAACACUCUGCAGAGGUUGUGCACUUUACCCACAAGCCGUGAUUCCCAUUCUGCCCAGAGAGAGCUACUCCCCAUUGACCACUACCUAGGUGGCCUAGCAGGGCAUCACUACGUAGCCUUUACAAAGAUUCCCCAGGGCUGUAGCCACCCGUUAGGUUUCCUAAAUAUACCGCACUCCUCCCCAAGGGGCGAACCCAAACUUGGCAGAGCGAGCCGCAUACACCGAGCCCCAUUGACGGCACGACGACUAAGUGAACUACACCCUGGAUCCUCUAAUUAUUCAGCUAAGGGCAUCCCAUUCCACCCUCAUGGUUGCACUGUUUUCUCGGGCGGUCAUCCAUAGAACAGGUCCUUACGGAGAGGCACUCGAGAAACCGCUCGAGCCCCCUUGAAGACCACAAGUACAACAUCAUAAUAAGAGAGGGGAAAACAGCGUAUCAUAGAUAAUCUCAUCAUGUUCAUUGAUUAGAGUUUGAGCAAUAGCAUAAAGCUAAACAAUAAUAAUCCAACCCAAAUAGGUGAACAAGGAUAUGGAUAACAAAGCUAGUCAAUCCUUAGGCAUAAAUGUGUAAUGCGGGAGGUGAAUUAAAGAAUGAAUAGGACAGAGAUAGGUCAAGGGACACUUGCCUCCACCAACCGACUGCUGCUCAGGGGCUUCUCCUGCGAGUUCCUCGGGCUCUUCGACCGGGUCGUUCUCUAAGCGAGUGCAAACAUACAUACAUCCAUCCAUUGAAAUUAGGAAACCAACAGUACACCAUACAAGAGAACAAGUAAAGUAAAUAUGCAUAGAAUACCACAUACGAUAAUGAAUUUACCUUGGUUAGAAAGAAACGAGGGAAGGUCUCGCAGGGGUUAAGGCUUAUGCUCGAGGGGCACUACGGGUAAACGAAUGACUAGACGUCACGUGCUCUAGUUUCAAUUGGUUCUAACAAAAGAAUUAGCUACAUGCACUAAUGUAAUCGCGACCACUUUUAGUAGAUUAACAUCAAACGAGAUAGAUGGUUAGUUAUACAAAUUAACUAACGUAACCAAUUUCCGACUUGAGACUCCUAUCUUAUUAAUAUAAACAUGGGAUUAGCGCGCAUAGGACACGGGGGGGGGGGGGUAGACGGGGCGUCUGGGGGUAGACGGGGCACGACGGGCCGUGCCAAGGCACGCGCGCGAGGUCGCACGCACACGCCACGAACUAGCCGUGCGCACGUCGGAGCCGAGCGCUGGCCGAGCUCAAAGCUGCGCGCCAUAGGCACGCUGGGCCAAGCUCGAGGCCACGCAGGGGCCGACAGGACGCGAGCAAGGCACGGCGGGGCGAGCGGGCAAGCACGCCGGGGCACGGGGGCGGCCGAGCACGAGGCGGGGUGGGACGGCUCGCCGGAGGGCGGCCGGGGCAGGGCCGAGCGUGGCUCGCCGGGGGCGGCCGGGCACGGGGCGGCGCGGGUCGCCGGGGUGGCCAGGGAGCCGGGCCGAGCGGGCGGGGCGGCCGAGCCGGGGCCGGGCGCGGCGAGGGCCGGCCGAGCCGGGGCCGGGCACGGCGAGGGUCGGCCGAGGCCAGGCGGCCGAACCGAGCGACGGGGCGGGGCGGUGCGGGCUCGCUGGACGAGGGCGGGCCGGGCGAGCCGGGCGAGCGCGGGGAGGGUCGCCGGGGCGCGGCGCGGUCGGGCGGCUCGCCGGCGCGCGCGGGGGCACGGGGAGGGGCGAGGGCUCGCCGGGGCGAGGGCGGGCUCGCCGGGCGCGGCCGGGGGCGGCCGGGGAGGGGGCGGCCGAGGCGGGGCGGGCUCGCCGGAGCGAGACGGCGCGGGGGCGGGGAAGGGGCGGGGCAGGCUCGCCGGAGCGAGGCCGGGCGAGGGCGGCCGGACGCGGGACGGGGGCGGGGCUCGUCGGGCGCGGCCGGGGGCGGCGAGGCGGGGGGGCGGGCUCGCCGUGGGCGAGGCGGGGCCGGCGCGGGACGGGCUCGCCGGAGCGGCCGAGCCGGCGCUGGGCGGCCGGGGAAGGGGGAGGGAGGGGAGGGGAGGAGAGGGGGCCUCACCGUGGGCGGGAACGGCGGCGGCGCGCAGGGCAAGGGGCGGCGCGGUUAGGGUUUGGGGAGAGAGAGGGUGAGAGAAUGACGGGCGGGGCCCGCGGGAGGGAUUUUUGGAAAAAGAAAAGGGGGCGCGGCUGGGCCGGCCAUGGGCCCAAAGCGGGGGCGCGCGGGGGGGCGAGGUGGGCCGCGGCCAAGCCGGCCCACGACGCGAGGGGGGGAGGGGGCGAGCCGGCUGGGCCGACCGGGAGGCCCACGCGGGGGGGAAAGGGGGGGCGGCUGGGCCGAAAUGGGAAAGGGAGAGAGGGAGAGAAAAAGAAAAGGGUUUUCUUUUUCUAAAAUCUAAUUUUCUUUGGAUGAAUGCUUUCACAUUUUUAAACAAUCAAAAGUAUGCAUGGUUCGGCAUGGUGCAUCACCCAAAAUAAAGUAUUUUAAGGUUUUGCUUUACACGGGGUCUAAAGCCAAAACCCGCUAUAACUUUGGAAAAGAUCAAGGUUUAGCGAGGGAACGAGAAAAAAAGAAAAGGGUAACGCCUGAAUUUGGUGAGAGAAAAGAAGAAAAAAUUCUACCCCCAAAUUCAGGGCGUUACACAUCACUUUCCAAAGUUCAGAUAUAAACCUAUCUUAAAUUCAUGGGGUGGAGGAUGGGAAAUGAUUUUAUGCAUUAGUAGAAUUUGUUUCUACUCUGUAACUUACAUGACCCUCUUUGUCUCACUCCUCUAUAGUAAAAAUGUAACACAUAAAUAUCUCUGACAUCUUGCUAAUAAUAGUAUACAAAUAUAUUUUGCAUAAAACCGAAUUAUCUUAAUUAAUAUAUGCCUAAAUUACUAUUAUUAGAAUGGAAUUCAAUUCCAAUGAUCCGAACGGGCCAUUAGUAGAAACAACCUGCUAAGAUUUCUAAGUCGGUGUGGAGGCCCUCUUAACGAGGCAGCUUAGCCAAGACUACAUCCCCAUGUUAACAUGAGCUAUCACCAUCAACUGCUCCUCCUCUUGUCCAUAUUUCAGGAAAGGUUGCUAAGUACUAAGCAAAUUAUGCUAAUUACCUAAGCCAGAGCCAUGAUAGCACUCGUGGUUGCACUAUUAUCCUGGGUGGUCACUCCAUAUUCCGUUUAAUAAAAUUUGAUCUUAUUUAAUCAUCGGAUUAAAACAACAAUAUACAUUUCAUUUCUGGAACCAUAAUAUAUUCAAAGAGUGACAUCAUAAUGAUAAAGUUGUGCAAUAAUAUCCUGGAUGGUCCCAGUGAGCUCGGUGCUUGCUUUUAUAGAGGGGAGGAGGAGAGAGGGCGUUGGAGAGGGAGGGUAACCGGCUGGCGGCCAUUGAUGGCGUCAGUUUCGAGUGGAAGAAAAUGGGAGAGAAUAGGAAGAGGAAGGGCGUGGUCGUUUCGGGUGUGGGAAGGCAGGGCGCCGGCCUGGCGCGAUCGGCCGAACAGCGGCAUAGCGCCCUCCUGCGCGCGCGCCUGGAGCGUUGGCAGCGCUUGAGGAGGAGGCGAGCAGCUGCGGGUUGACGACGCGUGCGGCUGGGCGCGCGGUGGCGGGGCCCUGGUGGGUCGGCUGCCGGUUAGAUUAGGUUUUUUAUAAUAUGUUAUUCCUUAAAAAUAUACAUAAAUAUAUAUUUUAAAUAUUUCAAAAAUAUAUAAUAAAUCUAAUAGUAAUAAUAUUUAUAAUUAAAAUACUAUAUGUUUAUCUUUAGACCUAAGUCUAUUAUAUAAAUUAAUUGGAUUUCCAAACAAAAGAACACUAUAAAGUCAUCAAUCAAUUAUUAGCAAGCAAAGACUCGUGCUUCAAUAAUGAAUGCAUAAAACACUUGGUUACAUUUUAAUUUGCUAGAGUUUAGUUAUUUUUAUAUCAGUAUUCUCUUAAUUCUGAAACUAUUUUUCCUCUCUAAUAGGUUUAGUAGUUAAUAUUAAAUUACUUCUUAUUGAGGGUUUUGAGGUGUUACAACAUAUGGCGGUCCGGUGGCUAUCUAGACCAGUCAACCUCCUGGUAUGGAAAGGGCCAAUCAGAAUCUCGGUGGUUGGACACUGUUCCCAGUCCGGUGGUGAGCUGGACCGGUCCAGUGCGUCUGCGUAGGGAGCAAUUUCAGGAGCUCCAACGGCUAGAAGGGAACUUGGGGCUAUAAAUAGGCCUCCAAUCCAACGGCUAGAAAAAUCAAUCCAAUCUAGAUGAGGUGGUGCAUCAUGAGUCCAUUGUACAAAUUUGGUGUAAUGAACUCAUUCCUCAUUAUUACUAAUGAUUAGCAUAUGAGCAAUGAAAUGGUGAUGAAUCAACUUAUUUCAUUCCACAAACCAAACAAAAAGGUGGGAAGUGAGAAGAUGAUGGACAACCUUAAACCAAACACCCCCUAAUUGUUUCCGACCAAAAGAGUCCGCAUCCACAUGGGAGUUUAUUGCUAUUAUGAUACUUAUAAGAGGUACCUUCUUCGCAAUAGUACUAACAAAUUAGACUUCUCUGUAAUGAUAUUCAUAAGUGGGAACCUUCUUCAAAAUGGUAUUUCACCAAUUCUUAUUUUCUUUUCUUAAUUUAUUUUCCUACUUUAAUUUUCUACCAUCUAAAACAAGCAUCAUUCCUAGGUGACGAUGUGUGAUUCCAUGGCGAGGCCCUACGAGUGCACGAGUAGGGACGUAGGGUGGUGGUGGACAGGAACUGGCCACAAGCAGAAUCCACGAUGGCCAUGGAGUUCGAGCUAGCAGUCAUGGAGAAGCUGCCUCGUCCAGUCGUCCUCAAGGCUGCGCCUGUCCGUUCCUAGCGAGGUUGUCACUAGGCUGUCGGUAGCAGGAAAAGCCCUGCUCUUUGCAGCGAACUAGAUAAAAUGUUCUUCAAAUGAUAGAAAAUAAAAACAAAAUAGAAAAUAGGUGAAAUAAGAGUGAAAUACUAUUUUAGAGAAGGUACUCACUUGUAAGUAGCAUUAUAGAGAAAUACAAUUUAUAAGUACUAUUGUAGAGAAGCCACUAAUUAGGGCUAAUUUGGUAAAAUCAUUUUUUUCAAGGGAUUCCUAUUUUUUCAAGGGAAAAUAAACUAAUUUUCCUUGGAAAAGUGAAAAUCCCUUGGGAAAAAAGUGUUUCGAAACUAGACCUUACAGGUAUUAUAAUAGCAAAAAAAACUCUCCCCAUGAACCGAGAGUCGUUGUCUGUCCAAUCACCAAGCACGAAUGCACACAUCCUACUGGUGAAUCACGAUAGGGGAGUGCAGCCGUCGACUUGGUCCAACGCUAAACGCGCGCUCCGGAAAUUUGACGUGGCGCAGGACGUUUUUAUUGCAGGAAGCGAGAGCCGGAGCUUUGUGCCUCGUCGACAUUGGGUGCGUUUCGGAAUCCCGACGACGACGAGGCGAGACAUGGCGAAUCACAAGAAGCAAAAGGAAAAUAUUUUCUACUUUGCCACUCUUAAUUGUGACUUCGUGAUAUUAUAUCAUCUCGUGUCUGCUUUUGGAACUAUUUGUGUCUAGGUUUCUCUCUACUCCUUUAGAAAGAAGCCAGCUAUCGGCGGCAGCGGACGGGUUGGCACGACACAAGAAGCGGGUAGGUCUUGGUCCAUGUUUUUCUUCCUUUUGUUUGGCAAUUCUCAGGUUGAGGUGAAUCGUGCCGUAGCGUUGAUCGUGCAAACGAGAGGAGCACGUACGGGUGGUGAUGUAAGUGAGUUAUUAUGAAAGAAAAAGGAUGUUUUUCUUCCGUUGUCAGUAUUUUCUAGCACGUUGGUCGCACAAACGAGGAUGGCGACUAGGAGUGAGUGUUGGAGAAAAUAGAAGAGUGGAUGUUUGUGUAAGAAAUAGAAGCUGUUGUGCGAGAAUAAAAACAGGGACCGUGUAUUCUUUAUUGCUUCUGAUAUUUAUACAUGCGGAGUGGAAGGAGUGGGAGCGGGUACAGAACACGACCAGACGCCUCAAUGGAGUAGUGGAUACGUGCUAUCAAGGGUCACGUCUCUUGAACCUCCCUGGAACGUCGGCUGGGAGCAGUAGUAACUGCUUAGAUCCCGUAACACUCCCCCUUAAGCAUUUGUCCAUCAUGUACAUCCUCCCUUAAAACCUGUAGGUAAAAGGCGGUUUGCAAUAAUAUACUGUGUAAUACUCCAGAAAACCCCUGUGGGAAAAUUUGGAGAAAAUCAACGGUAUAUGAUAUGUCUUUGGUGUCUCUAUCGAAAAACCCUGGCGGGAAAAAUCAAGAGACAGACAUAUGCUUGUGUUGACAUUGCCUCAUUAAAAACCUAACAUGAGAAAACAUGAUAGUAAAACUCAUAUAGGAAAAGAGUACAAUGUGAUGUUAGUAUUAGGUUAAUCAAAGAGAUACUCCCCCUGAUGCAAGCAAAUCUCUAAGUCGACGCAUGCCAAUACCCUUAACACAUAUCCGAAAUGUGGAAUAAGGUAGCGACUUAGUGAAUAAGUCUGCGAGAUUGUCACAAGACUUAGUUUGCAUGACCUUAAUCUCACCACUCUGUUGAAGUUGAUGAGGGUAGAAUAACUUGGGGGAGAUAUGUUUGGUAACAUUACUCUUGAUAUAACCUUGUUGCAUCUGAGCAACACAAGCUGCAUUAUCUUCAUAGAUAAUGGUGGGUAACUCAAUGGAAUGAAUCCCACAUGAUGAUUGAAUGUGACUAAUCACCCUUCGAAGCCACACACAUUCACAUGAGGCUUCAUACAAGGCAAUAAUUUCUGAGUGAUUAGUGGAUGUUGUUACUAGAGUUUGCUUGGAUGACUUCCAAGAAAUAGCAGUUCCACCAUUCAGAAAUACGAACCCAGUUUGGGACUUUCCAUUGUGGGGGUCUGAAAGAUAACCAGCAUCUGUGUACCCUACGAGGCUAGGAUCUUGAUUUCUUCCGUAGAAUAGACCAAGAUCUGUCGUGCCAUGGAGGUAUCGAAGAAUAUUUUUGAUUCCAGUCCAAUGGCGUUUGGUAGGGGAUGCACUAUAUCUAGCAAGUAAAUUUACCGCAAAAGCAAUAUCGGGUCUCGUAUUGUUUGCUAGAUACAUAAGUGCUCCAAUUGCACUAAGAUAUGGGUACUCAGGACCCAAAAUUUCUUCUCCUUCGUCUCGUGGUUGAAAAGGAUCCUUAUCCCAUUCUAGGGUACGGACGAUCAUAGGAGUCUUAGACGGAUAUGCUUUAUCCAUAUUGAAUUUACUCAAUACUUUCUGUGCAUAAGCAGACUGGUGAAUGAGAAUGCCCGUGGGAAGGUGGUCAAGUUGCAAACCCAAGCAAAAUUUGGUUUUACCCAAAUCCUUCAUCUCAAAUUCUGUCUUUAAAAGAUUGUGUGCCUCAUCAAUAUCACGUUUAUGGCCGAUGAUGUUCAAGUCAUCCACAUAUACUGAUAUGAUGCAGAAACCUGUAGAAGAUUUCUCUAUAAAGACACAUGGACAAUCAUCACUGUUAGAAUAACCCUUAUUCAUAAGGAAUUCCUUCAGUCGGUUGUACCACAUUCUCUCUGACUGUUUUAAGCCAUAUAGAGAUUUGGUGAGUUUGACACAAAACAUGUUACAAUUUUUGUCAUUAUUCGGUACAGGUAUUCCAUCAGGAACUUUCAUGUAUAUGUCUGAAUCUAGUGACCCAUAAAGAUAUGCGGUCACGACGUCCAUCAACUACAGAAGUAGACGUUUUUGUGCUGCCAAUGAAAUUAAAUACCGGAAGGUUAUUCCAUUCAUAACAGGAGAAUAUGUCUCAUUGUAGUCAAUUCCUGGUCUCUGGGUAAACCCUUGAGCAACUAAUCUCGCUUUAUAUCUCACAACAUCAUUGUUCUCAUUCCGUUUCCGGGUGAAAACCCAUUUGAAUCCAACAGGAUGAAUUCUGGGAUGUGUAGGUAUCACAGAGGUGAAUACCUUUCUUUUUGCUAGUGAGGAAAAUUCAGAGUUAAUUGCUUCCUUCCAUUUGAUCCAGUCCGAGCGUUAUUGACACUCUGCCAUGGAUUUAGGGUCUGGGUCAGAUAGAAGGUUACCAGCUAUGAUUGAUGAGAAACAUGAAUUGACGACCGUAUUUUACGAUCAUACAAUUCUCCAGAACUAAUAUAAUUAAUGGAAAUCUCCUGUACCCCAUGAAAGUCUUCUUGAUUCAUAGGAAGAGUAGAUACGGGGUGUUCUGAUGUACCAGCGACAUCUGAAUUGUGCACAUGAGUGCUGGUUUGUGGAUGUACAGUAUCCACUUGGUGUCCAUCAACUGGUGGUUGACUUUUGUUUACUGAUUUGGAGGAUCGAAUGUUCCUCUCUUUCCUUUGACGCUUAGUGCAUUAUCCUGCUUAGCAGCCCUCACCCUCUUCGGUUGAGAAGAUGGUUGAAUGGUUUUUCGUGGUACCUCCACUCGACUGGGUGCAUUAACAGCAAGAUUCAAGGAUUUUGUGACACCAUUAUAGUAAGUAAACGCAUCAGGCAGAUUAUUAGCAAAGUGUUGCAAUUCUAUAAUUUUCUAAACUUGAAGUUCAGAUUCCUAGGUUCGAGGAUCUGAGGACAGGAUGGAUUUGUCAUCCCAAUUGAUUUCCUGGCAUUCAUUAGGAUACUUAAAUUCUCCCCCUAAUGCCGGAAAAUGGUCCUCGUUAAAGAUGCAAUCAGCGAAACGAGCUGUGUACAAAUCCCCUGUAAGGGGCUCUAGGUAUUUGAUGAUCGAUGGGGAUUGAUAUCCCACAUAGAUGCCCAAUUUCCUAUAAGGUCACAUAGCUGUUCGCUGAGGCGGUGAUACAGGGGUGUAGACCGCACAUCCAAAUUUCCGCAGAUGGGAUAUUUGGAGGAUUUCCUCAUACCAGGUGCAACGGAGAUGUGGUAUGAUAUGCAGUUGGACGAAGUUGAAUAAGAUCAGCAGCGUGUAAAACUGCAUGACACCAACAGGAUGUAGGUAAAUUGCAUUCAUGAAGUAAAGGUCUUGCGAUAAGUUUGAUCCUCUUAAUAAGAGAUUCAGCUAAACCAUUUUGAGUAUGUACAUAAGGCACAGAAUGUUCAAUGUGUAUUCCUUGGGCCAUACAAUAAUCAUUGAAAGCUCUAUAAGAGAAUUCAGCCGCAUUAUCUAGGCGGAUUUUCUGGAUUUGAUGUUCAGGGUAAUGUGCUUUCAAUCGAAUGACUUGCGUCAUGAUUUUAGCAAAAGCAUGGUUACGUGUAGACAGAAGGCACACGUGUGACCAUCGUGUAGAUGCGUCAAUUAAUACCAUGAAAUAUCUGAACCGUCCAUAUAAUGGUUGUAUGGGUCCACAAAUGUCACCUUGAAUUCGUUCAAGGAACUUGAGUGGUUCAGCAUGAAUCUUAAGAGGAGAUGGUGAGAGCACCUAGAGGGGGGGUGAAUAGGUGAUCCUGUAAAACUUAAAAACUUAAGCCACAAAACUUUGAUUAAGCGUUAGCACAGUUAAUGCCAAGUGGCUAGAGAGAAGAUCUUGCACAAUACGAUAACCACAAGGAGUUCAACACAGAGAAGACACAGUGGUUUAUCCUGUGGUUCGGCCAAGUACAAAACUUGCCUACUCCACGUUGUGGCGUCCCAACGGACGAGAGUUGCACUCAACUCCUCUCAAGUGAUCCAAUGAUCAACUUGAAUACCACAGUGUUAUGCUUUUCUUUUCUUAUCGCGUUCGCGAGGAAUCUCCACAACUUGGAGUCUCUCGCCCUUACACUUGAAGUUCACAAAGAAGCACGGAGUAAGGGAGAGAAGCAACACACACAAAUCCACAGCAAAAUGCGCACACACACGGCCAAGAAUCGAGCUCAAAAGACUAUCUCAAAGUUCUCACUAGAACGGAGCUCGAAUCACUGAGAAUGACAAACGAAUGCGCAAAGACUGAGUGUGGAUGAUCAAGAAUGCUCUAAGUUUGCUUGGUCUUCUCCUCCAUGCGCCUAGGGGUCCCUUUUAUAGCCCCAAGGCAGCUAGGAGCCGUUGAGAGCAAAUCUGGAAGGCCAUUCUUGCCUUCUGUCGUCUGGUGCACCGGACAGUCCGGUGCACACCGGACAGUGUCCGGUGCCCGAUUUCCUUCCUAAAGUGGCGCGGCCGACCGUUGCAGAUCUGGGAGCCGUUGGCGCACCGGACAUGUCCGGUGCCCCCUUCCGACCGUUGGCCCGGCCACGUGUCGCGCGUAGAUUCCGCGGCCGACCGUUGGCCCCGCCGACCGUUGGCUCACCGGACAGUCCGGUGCACACCGGACAGUCCGGUGAAUUUUAGUCGUACGCCGUCGGCGAAUUCCCGAGAGCGGCCACUACACGCCGAGUCAGCCUGGCGCACCGGACACUGUCCGGUGCACCACCGGACAGUCCGGUGUGCCAGACUGAGCUGCCUUUUUCACCUCUUUUCUUUUCUUCUUCUUUCUGUUUCUAACACUUAGACAAGUAUAUUAGUACACAAAACCAAUGUACUAAGGCUUAGAAACAUACCUUUACUCUUGAUUUGCACUUUGUCCAUCCAUGAGCAUAAAUUCACAUUUAAGCACUUGUGUUGGCACUCAAUCACCAAAAUACUUAGAAAUGGCCCAAGGGCACAUUUCCCUUUCAAUCUCCCCCUUUUUGGUGAUUUAUGCCAACACAACAUAAAGCAACUAGAACAAGUGCAAUAUCACUUCAAAUAAAACUCAAAUUUAUUUUGAUUCAAUUUCGGCAUAUAUGGAUCAUCCUUUGCCACCACUUGGUUUGUUUUUGCAAAUCAAACUCACAUCUCUAUCUCUAAGUCAAACACACAUGUUGAAGCAUAAAGAGAGUCAUUCCAAAAGAGAUUGAUCAAAGAUUUCAAAAACUCCCCCUAUUUCCCAUAAUCAACACUUCUCCCCACAAGAGGCCAACUUUUGACAAGAGAGACAAUAAAAAAGUUUUGACAAAACAAAAAACUCUAUUCUACUAUUUUCAAAAUCUCUCAAGUGGUAGCUGAUCCAUUUAUCACUUUGGCCUUUAUUUUCUCCCCCUUUGGCAUCAAGCACCAAAACGGGAUCAAUCUUGGCCCUUUAACCCCAUUGCCUCACCAAAAUCUUCAAUUAAGAGCAAAUAGGCAAUAAGAGUUUAAAGAUGAACUUGGAAAGGUUACUCUUUUCAUCAGAGUGCAGUGGAAGUCUUGCAUGGUCCAAGUCCACCUUUUUCCUUUCAAUUCUCCUUCGAGACUAAAUCAAGCAAACUCAAGCAUAUGGUUAGUCUAAAAGGGUCAAGUUGUAACACAUCUCCCCCUAAAUAUGUGCAUCACUUGCACGAGGACUUGUGAGGUCCGGGGAGUGCUUGUACAACUUGAGCACCAUAAUAAGCAACAAAAUGCAGAAUGAACAUGAUCAAAGGCAUAAACAUAUGUAUGCUACAAUUCAAUCCAAGUUCCACGAAUCUAAGAUAUUGAGCUCACUACGUAGCCUGCAAAAGGUCUUCUCAUCUAGAGGCUUGGUAAAGAUAUCGGCUAGCUGGUUCUCGGUGCUAACAUGAAACACUUCGAUAUCCCCCUUUUGCUGGUGGUCUCUCAAAAAGUGAUGCCGGAUGUCAAUGUGCUUUGUGCGGCUGUGCUCAACAGGAUUUUCCGCUAUUCGGAUAGCACUCUCAUUAUCACAUAGGAGUGGGACUUUGCUCAGAUUGUAGCCAAAGUCCCUGAGGGUUUGCCUCAUCCAAAGUAGUUGCGCACAACACUGUCCUGCGGCAACGUACUCGGCCUCAGCAGUGGAUAGGGCAACGGAGGUUUGUUUCUUAGAGUUCCAUGACACCAGGGACCUUCCUAAGAAUUGGCACGUCCCCGAUGUACUCUUUCUAUCGACCUUACAUCCAGCAUAGUCGGAAUCUGAGUACCCAAUCAAGUCAAAGUUCGACCCCUUUGGAUACCAGAUCCCGAAGCAAGGCGUAGCGACUAAAUAUCGAAGAAUUCGCUUCACAGCCACUAAGUGACACUCCUUAGGAUCGGAUUGAAAUCUAGCACACAUGCAUACGCUAAGCAUAAUAUCCGGUCUACUAGCAUAUAAAUAAAGCAAAGAACCUAUCAUGGACCAGUAUGCUUUUUGAUCAACGGACUUACCUCCUUUGUUGAGGUCGGUGUGUCCGUCGGUUCCCAUCGGCGUCUUUGCGGGCUUGGCGUCCUUCAUCCCAAACCUCUUUAGCAAAUCUUGUGUGUACUUCGUUUGGGAGAUGAAGGUGCCGUCCUUGAGUUGCUUCACUUGGAACCCAAGGAAGUAGGUCAACUCGCCCAUCAUCGACAUCUCGAAUUUCUGCGUCAUCACCCUGCUAAACUCUUCACAAGACUUUUGGUUAGUAGAACCAAAUAUUAUGUCGUCGACAUAAAUUUGGCACACAAAAAGAUCACCAUCGCAAGUCUUAGUAAAAAGAGUUGGAUCAGCUUUCCCAACCUUGAAAGCAUUAGCAAUUAAAAAGUCUCUAAGGCAUUCAUACCAUGCUCUUGGGGCUUGCUUAAGUCCAUAGAGCGCCUUAGAGAGCUUACACAUGUGGUCGGGGUACCGUUCAUCCUCGAAGCCAGGGGGUUGCUCCACGUAUACCUCCUCCUUGAUCGGCCCGUUGAGGAAAGCGCUCUUCACAUCCAUUUGGUACAACCUGAAAGAAUGGUGAGCGGCAUAUGCUAGCAAGAUGCGAAUUGACUCUAGCCUAGCCACAGGAGCAAAAGUCUCCUCAAAGUCCAAACCUGCGACUUGGGCAUAACCUUUUGCCACAAGUCGAGCCUUGUUCCUCGUCACCACCUCGUGCUCGUCCUGUUUGUUGCGGAACACCCACUUGGUUCCCACAACAUUUUGCUUGGGACGAGGCACCAGUGUCCAAACUUCAUUGCGCUUGAAGUUGUUGAGUUCCUCCUGCAUGGCCAACACCCAGUCCGGAUCUAGCAAGGCCUCUUCUACCCUGAAAGGCUCAAUAGAAGAGACAAAAGAGUAAUGCUCACAAAAAUUAACUAAUCUCGAGCGAGUAGUUACUCCCUUGCUAAUAUCACCCAAUAUCUGGUCGAUGGGAUGAUCCCUUUGAAUCGUCGCUCGAACUUGGGUUGGAGGUGCCUGAGGUGCUUCUUCCUCUUGAGCAUCCUGUGCUCCCCCUUGAUCAUGCGCCUCCACUUGAGGUACCUGUUCGUCAUCCUGGGUUGGGGGAUGCACCAUAGUUGAGGAAGACGGUUGAUCUUGCUCCAAAUGUUCCUGAGGUCGUACAUCUCUAAUCGCCAUGGUGCGUAUUGCGGCCGUUGGAACGUCUUCUUCAUCUACAUCAUCAAGAUCAACAACUUGCUCUCUUGGAGAGCCAUUAGUCUCAUCAAAUACAACGUCGCUAGAGACUUCAACCAAACCCGAUGAUUUGUUGAAGACCCUAUACGCCUUUGUAUUUGAAUCAUAACCUAAUAAAAACCCUUCUACGGCUUUGGGAGCAAAUUUGAAAUUCCUACCCUUCUUCACUAGAAUGUAGCAUUUACUCCCAAAAACACGAAAAUACGAUACAUUCGGUUUGUUACCAGUCAGAAGCUCAUACGACGUCUUCUUGAGGAGGCGGUGAAGGUAGACCCUGUUGAUGGCGUGGCAAGCCGUGUUCACGGCUUCCGACCAAAAACACUCGGGGGUCUUGAACUCUCCAAGCAUAGUCCUCGCCAUAUCUAUGAGCGUCUUGUUCUUCCUUUCUACCACACCAUUUUGUUGAGGUGUGUAGGGAGCGGAGAACUCGUGCUUGAUCCCUUCCUCUUCAAGAAACUCCUCCACUUGAAGGUUCUUGAAUUCGGACCCGUUGUCGCUCCUUAUCUUCUUCACCUUGAGCUCAAACUCAUUUUGAGCUCUCCUUAGGAAGCGCUUGAGGGUCCCUUGGGUUUCAGACUUAUCCUGCAAAAAGAACACCCAAGUGAAGCGGGAAAAGUCAUCAACGAUAACUAGACCAUACUUACUUCCUCCUAUGCUCAGAUAGGCGACGGGUCCGAAGAGGUCCAUAUGUAGCAGCUCCAGGGGUCUUGAUGUUGUCAUCACAUUUUUGGUGUGAUGAGAGCCUCCCACCUGUUUCCCUGCUUGACAAGCUGCACACGGUCUGUCUUUUUCGAAAUGAACAUUGGUUAGACCUAUCACGUGUUCUCCCUUUAGAAGCUUGUAGAGGUUCUUCAUCCCCACAUGUGCUAAGCGGCGAUGCCACAGCCAGCCCAUGCAAGUCUUAGCCAUUAAGCAUGCAUCUAGACCGGCCUCUUCUUUUGAAAAAUCAACUAAGUAAAGCUUGCCGUCUAGUACACCCUUAAAAGCUAGUGGACCAUCACAUCUUCUAAAGACAGACACAUCUACAUUUGUAAACAAACAGUUAUAUCCCAUAUUGCAUAAUUGACUAACAGAUAGCAAAUUAUAUCCAAGACUCUCCACUAGAAACACAUUAGAGAUAGAAUGCUCAUUGGAGAUUGCAAUUUUACCUAGCCCUUUUACCUUGCCUUGAUUCCCAUCACCGAAAAUUAUUGAAUCUUGGGAAUCUUUGUUUUUGACGUAUGAGGUGAACAUCUUCUUCUCCCCCGUCAUAUGGUUUGUGCAUCCGCUGUCAAUAAUCCAGCUUGAACCCCCGGAUGCAUAAACCUGUAAGGCAAAUUUAGGCUUGGGUCUUAGGUACCCAACUCAUGUUGGGUCCUGCAAGGUUAGCACAAAUAUCCUUAGGGACCCAAAUGCAAGUUUUGUCUCCCUUGCAUCUUGCCCCUAAUUUUCUAGCAAUUAUCUUCCUAUCCUUUCUACAAAUAGCAAAAGAAGCAUUUAAAGCAUGAUAUAUUGUAGAAGGUUCAUUUACUUUCCUAGGAAUAUUAACAACAUUUCUCCUAGGCAUAUUAUGAACAAUAUUUCUCCUACCAACAUUUCUAUCAUGCACAUAAGAAGAACUAGAAGCAAACAUGACAUGAGAAUCAAAGGCAUUAUAUGCAUUACAACUCCUAUAAGCAUUUCUAGAUUGUCUCCUAUCAUGGUACAUAAAAGCAUGGUUCUUUUGCACACUACUAGCCAUAGGGGCCUUCCCUUUCUCCUUGGCGGAGAUGGGAGCCUUAUGGCUUGUCAAGUUCUUGGCUUCCCUCUUGUAGCCAAGUCCAUCCUUAAUUGAGGGGUGUCUACCAAUCGUGUAGGCAUCCCUUACAAAUUUUAGCUUGUCAAAUUCAUUCUUGCUAGUCUUAAGUUGGGCAUUAAGACUAGCUAAUUCCUCAUUUAAUUUGGAAAUUGAAACUAAAUGAUCACUACAAGCAUCAAUGUCAAAAUCUUUACACUUAUUACAAGUUUCAACAAUUUCUACACAAGAAUUAGAUUUACUAGCUACUUCUAGUUUAGCAUUUAAAUCAUCAUUAAAACUUUUUAACUUAGCUAUAGUUUCAUGACAAGAAGAUAAUUCACUAGAGAGCAUUUCAUUCCUCUUAAUUUCUAGAGCAAGAGAUUUCUGAGCUUCUACAAAUUUAUCAUGUUCUUCAUACAAUAAAUCCUCUUGCUUUUCUAAAAGUAUAUUCCUAUCAUUCAAGGCAUCAAUCAAUUCAUUAAUUUUGUCUACCUUGGUUCUAUCUAGUCCCUUAAAUAAGCAUGAGUAAUCUAUCUCAUCAUCACUAGACUCAUCCUCACUUGAAGAAGCAUAAGUACUAGUAUUAUGAGUGCUUACUUUCUUCUCCCUUGCCAUGAGGCAAGUGUGACGCUCGUUGCGGAAGAGGGAUGACUUGUUGAAGGCGGUGGCGGCGAGUCCUUCGUUGUCGGAGUCGGACGAAGAGCAGUCUGAAUCCCACUCCUUGCCAAGAUGAGCCUCGCCCUUUGCCUUCUUAUAGUUCUUCUUUUUCUCCCUCUUGUUCCCUUGAUCCUGAUCACUAUCAUUGUCGGGACAGUUAGCAAUAAAAUGACCAAGCUUACCGCAUUUGAAGCAUGAGCGCUUCCCCUUGGCUUUGGUCUUGCUUGGCUGUCCCUUGCGACCUUUAAGCACCGUCUUGAAUCUUUUGAUGAUGAGAGCCAUCUCUUCAUCAUUAAGUCCGGCCGCCUCAAUCUGUGCCACCUUGCUAGGUAGCGCCUCCUUGCUUCGUGUUGCCUUGAGAGCAAGGGGUUGCGGCUCGUUGAUCGGACCAUUCAAGGCGUCGUCCACGUACCUCGCCUCCUUGAUCAUCAUUCGCCCGCUAACGAAUUUCCCAAGAACUUCUUCGGGCGACAUCUUGGUAUACCUGGGAUUUUCACGAAUAUUGUUCACCAAAUGAGGAUCAAGAACGGUAAAUGACCUUAGCAUUAGGCGGACGACGUCGUGGUCCGUCCAUCGCGUGCUCCCGUAGCUCCUUAUUUUGUUGAUAAGGGUCUUGAGCCGGUUGUAUGUUUGUGUCGGCUCCUCGCCCCUUAUCAUCGUGAACCGUCCAAGCUCGCCCUCCACCAACUCCAUUUUGGUGAGCAAGGUGACGUCGUUUCCCUCAUGAGAGAUCUUGAGGGUGUCCCAGAUCUGCUUGGCAUUGUCCAAGCCGCUCACCUUGUGAUACUCAUCCCUGCACAAAGAGGCUAGCAACACAGUAGUAGCUUGUGCAUUUUUAUGAAUCUGUUCAUUAAUAAACACAGGGCUAUCCGAGCUAUCAAAAUUCAUUCCACUUUCCACAAUCUCCCAAAUGCUUGGAUGGAGAGAAAACAGGUGAGUACGCAUUUUGUGGCUCCAAAAUCCGUAAUCCUCUCCAUCAAAGUGAGGGGGCUUGCCAAGUGGAAUGGGGAGCAAUUGAGCAUUUGAAUUAUGCGGGAUGCGCGAAUAAUCGAAAGAAAAGUUUGAGUUAACCGUCUUUCGUCUAUCGUAGUCGUCGUCGUCCUUUUGGGAGGAGGAAGAUUCGUCGCUGUCGUAGUAGACAAUUUCCUUGAUGCGCCUUGUCUUCUUCUUCCUCCCGUCUUUUCUUUUGUGGCCCGAUCCUGAGUCGGUGGGCCUGUCAUCAUUGGGCUCGUUGACGAAGGAUUCCUUCUCCUUGUCGUUGAUCACCAUCCCCUUGCCUUUAGGAUCCAUCUCUUCGGUCGGUUAGUCCCUUUCUUGAAGAGAACGGCUCUGAUACCAAUUGAGAGCACCUAGAGGGGGGUGAAUAGGUGAUCCUGUAAAACUUAAAAACUUAAGCCACAAAACUUUGAUUAAGCGUUAGCACAGUUAAUGCCAAGUGGCUAGAGAGAAGAUCUUGCACAAUACGAUAACCACAAGGAGUUCAACACAGAGAAGACACAGUGGUUUAUCCCGUGGUUCGGCCAAGUACAAAACUUGCCUACUCCACGUUGUGGCGUCCCAACGGACGAGAGUUGCACUCAACUCCUCUCAAGUGAUCCAAUGAUCAACUUGAAUACCACAGUGUUAUGCUUUUCUUUUCUUAUCGCGUUCGCGAGGAAUCUCCACAACUUGGAGUCUCUUGCCCUUACACUUGAAGUUCACAAAGAAGCACGGAGUAAGGGAGAGAAGCAACACACACAAAUCCACAGCAAAAUGCGCACACACACGGCCAAGAAUCGAGCUCAAAAGACUAUCUCAAAGUUCUCACUAGAACGGAGCUCGAAUCACUGAGAAUGACAAACGAAUGCGCAAAGACUGAGUGUGGAUGAUCAAGAAUGCUCUAAGGUUGCUUGGUCUUCUCCUCCAUGCGCCUAGGGGUCCCUUUUAUAGCCCCAAGGCAGCUAGGAGCCGUUGAGAGCAAAUCUGGAAGGCCAUUCUUGCCUUCUGUCGUCUGGUGCACCGGACAGUCCGGUGCACACCGGACAGUGUCCGGUGCCCGAUUUCCUUCCUAAAGUGGCGCGGCCGACCGUUGCAGAUCUGGGAGCCGUUGGCGCACCGGACAGUCCGGUGCCCCCUUCCGACCGUUGGCCCGGCCACGUGUCGCGUGUAGAUUCCGCGGCCGAUCGUUGGCUCACCGGACAGUCCGGUGAAUUUUAGCCGUACGCCGUCGGCGAAUUCCCGAGAGCGGCCACUACACGCCGAGUCAGCCUGGCGCACCGAACAGUGUCCGGUGCACCACCGGACAGUCCGGUGCACCACCGGACAGUCCGGUGUGCCAGACUGAGCUGAGUCUUGGCUGUACACAGCCAAGCCUUUUUCACCUCUUUUCUUUUCUUCUUCUUUCUGUUUCUAACACUUAGACAAGUAUAUUAGUACACAAAACCAAUGUACUAAGGCUUAGAAACAUACCUUUACUCUUGAUUUGCACUUUGUCCAUCCAUGAGCAUAAAUUCACAUUUAAGCACUUGUGUUGGCACUCAAUCACCAAAAUACUUAAAAAUGGCCCAAGGGCACAUUUCCCUUUCAGAUGGUCUUAAGAUUAGCUUUCCCGUUGCACAUGAUGUACAUAUAAUAUCAGAUGGUUUAGGGAAUUUAGCAGACUUUAAAUCAUGACUGAUGCAUAUACCUGUGAUUUUCUGCAUCAUCCCUAUUCCAGGGUGACCAAGACAUGCAUGCCAUGUCUUGAAUGAAUCUACAUUCUGAAAAAUCACUUUGUACGUAACAUGAGGUACUGGUUUUAUGUAUGUGUAGUACAAUCCGAAUGGAAGUGAAGGUAUUCUUUCCAUAAUGUUAGCGCCAUAUUCAGAAGGUUUGGAAAAUGAGGAGAAAUUCCUCAUUAUUUUCUGUAUGAGUAGAAAUAUGUAAACCACUUUUCCGAAUAUCUCGAAAACUCAGAAGGGUACGAGUUGAAUCGGGAUACAAUAAAGCAUCCUCGAUAGUGACUUGUGUACCCAUAGGGAGCGUAAUAGUCGCUCGUCCAGAGCCAACUAUUUUCGUAUCGCGCCCAGCGAUUGUCAAAACAUUUCCUGACCUCUUUGUGAGAGUUUGGAAAUAUUUUGUUUCCCGAAGAAUAGAGUUGGUGGUACCACUAUCUACAAGGCAUAAUUCUUUCUCCAUUGGAUUGACUUCCGCAUAAUCCGACAGUUUUUUUUCCCUUUGAUGAAGAACUUCUUGCCUCCGGUCGUCUUCUUUUGGCCUUUGCUCUUUUUUUUGAAAGCAAGUGCUGAUGACGUGUAAGAAAUAGAAACUGUUGUGCGAGAAUGAAAACAGGGACCGUGUAUUCUUUAUUGUUGCUGAUAUUUAUACAUGCGGAGUGGACGGAGUAGGAGCGGGUACAGUACACGACCAAACGCCUCAAUGGAGUAGUGGAUACGUGCUAUCAAGGGUCACAUCUCUUGAACCUCCCUGGAACGUCGGCUGGGAGUAACUGCUUAGAUCUUGUAACAGUUUGGUUUCUAGAGACUAAGUUUUAGUCUCUAUGUUUUAUUCUAUUUUAGUCUCUAAAUUAUUUAAAUAUAAAAACUAAAACAUGAAAUAAAAUGGAUGAACUAAAAUUUAGUCACAAAAUCAAACACCCCCUACUUACUGUAAUGGUAGAUGUGGUGUGGCAGCGGACUCCCUUCCCCGAUUUCAGUGUGCUUUAUAUGUUAGUCGUGUAAAAGAGAUGGUAUUUUAUAAGUCCUGUUAAAAAUGGUAAUGUAAGAGAGAUGGUACUUCCUUCAUCGAUAAAUGUUUGUCGACAUGUUGUUCGUGUCAAUUAAACUUUCUUAAUUUUAACUAAAAUUAUAAAAUAAUUUUAUUGUAACAUUAUAAAAGGAGAUUCAAAGAUCUGAUAUAAAUUUUAUACUAUAAAUAUUAAAAUUUCUUAUAUCAAAGUUAAAAAUGUUUGACUCCUUAAAAAUAAAAAUGGCCAACAUUUAUGGACGAGAGUAUUUUAUAGAGGUAGUAGGUAUAAUGAAUUUAAGAAAAAGCUCUGCACAGAGUUGAAAAACUGGGGGAGAAAGAUUUCUGACAUAAGAACAUAGUAAGAACAAAAAUGACCAACAUUUAUGGACGAGAGUGUUUUAUUAAGGUAGUAGGUAUAAAGAAUUUAAGAAAAAUCUCUGCACAGAGUACAGAUACUAGCGGAGAAAGAUUUCGGACAUAAUGAGGUAUUGAGGAAAAAAAAAUAUAAAGAAACCGUUUUGCUCCCAAAACUCUUCGAGGACAAGAAAAACCAGGACCCAACAAAAGCUGCUAGCUAUUCUGGGUGGGAGUUUAUCAAUUUCAUUAAAUGCCACAUAACAUGACAGCCUAAAAAUUGUGGUAAACAAUCAAAUGAGAAUGGCCUCCUAACUGGCAAAAGGUUGAAAUUAACAAAGAAUCGCAAGCUCAAAAACAAAAUACGAGCCAGCAGUAUGCAGAAACAAAUACCGAAAAGAAGAAUACCGUAUCACUUAAGGUUUGCCAGUAGCCGCGAUAACAUUGAACCGACCGACUAUCACGAGGUCCAAAAAAAUAACCACCACAAAAGUACCAACCAACCACAAAUAAAGUUUAAGCGGACACACCGCACCAACUGACGAUAACUCUCGGCAGCAACUGGGCCAGCCAGCAACUGCAGCACACUCAAGACUGACAACAAACCGCUUAGUCCACCUCCUCGAUCUUGGGGCCAGGGCCGCCGCUGCCGGCAGGGGCGUCCUCGUCCAUGCCGCCAGCGCCGCCCAUGUCUUCACCCGCGCCCUGGUACAUCUUGGCGAUGAUGGGGUUGCAGAGGCUCUCCAGCUCCUUCAUCUUGUCCUCGAACUCGUCCGCCUCGGCGAGCUGGUUGGCGUCCAGCCAGCUGAUGGCCGCGUCGAUGGCGUCCUCGAUCUUCUUCUUGUCAUCGGCCGGCAGCUUGGACGCAAUCUUCUCGUCCUUGAUCGUGUUGCGCAUGUUGUAGGAGUAGUUCUCCAGCGAGUUCUUGGCCUCCACCUUCUUCUUGUGCUCCUCAUCCUCAGACUUGUACUUCUCAGCGUCCUGAACCAUCUUCUCGAUCUCCUCCUUGGAGAGACGGCCCUUGUCGUUGGUGAUUGUGAUCUUGUUCUUCUGCCCCGUUGUCUUGUCCUCGGCAGACACGUUCAGGAUGCCGUUGGCGUCGAUGUCAAAGCACACGGUGAUCUGUGGCACACCACGGGGUGCAGGGGGGAUGCCGGAGAGCUCGAACUUGCCCAGCAGGUUGUUGUCGCGUGUCCGGGUCCUCUCACCCUCGUAGACCUGGAUCAGGACACCGGGCUGGUUGUCCGAGUAGGUGGAGAAUACCUGCUCCUUCUUGGUGGGGAUGGUGGUGUUCCUCGGGAUCAGCACUGUCAUAACUCCUCCAGCAGUCUCCAGACCCAGGGACAGAGGGGUGACGUCCAGCAGAAGCAGGUCCUGCACCUUCUCAUUGCCCUCACCGCUCAGGAUGGCAGCCUGGACAGCAGCACCAUAGGCGACAGCCUCAUCGGGGUUGAUGUUCUUGCACAGCUCCUUGCCGUUGAAGAAGUCCUGGAGCAGUUGCUGCACCCUGGGGAUCCUAGUGGAGCCACCAACAAGUACAACGUCAUGGACGGUGCUCUUGUCCAUCUUGGCAUCCCUCAGGCACUUCUCAACAGGCUCCAUGCACUUCCUGAACAGGUCCAUGUUGAGCUCCUCAAACCUGGCACGGGUGAUGGUGGAGUAGAAGUCGAUGCCCUCAUACAGCGAGUCAAUCUCAAUCGUGGUCUGGGCAGUGGAAGACAGAGUCCUCUUCGCCCUCUCACAAGCGGUCCUCAGCCUCCGGAGAGCCCUGGGGUUGCCAGUGAUAUCCUUCUUGUUCUUCCUCUUGAACUCCUGGACGAAGUGGUUGACCAUCCUGUUGUCAAAGUCCUCACCACCAAGAUGGGUGUCACCAGCUGUGGCCUUGACCUCAAAGAUUCCUUCCUCAAUGGUGAGGAGGGAGACAUCAAAGGUACCACCUCCAAGAUCAAAGAUGAGGACAUUCUUCUCACCGACACUGGUAGCCUUCUUGUCAAGACCAUAGGCGAUAGCUGCAGCUGUUGGCUCGUUGAUGAUACGCAGCACAUUAAGGCCAGCAAUCACCCCAGCAUCCUUUGUGGCCUGCCUCUGUGAGUCAUUGAAGUAGGCAGGGACUGUGACCACAGCAUUCUUGAUCGUGCUACCAAGGUAAGCUUCAGCAAUCUCACGCAUCUUGAUAAGAACCAUAGAGGAGAUCUCUUCAGCUGCAAAC